GAAGGACAACCUGUAUAUAUUGAGAGAUUAGGCUUAGUUGAUGCUACCAAGCUCAUGCAAGUAACGAAUAUGGAGCGCUAUCUCAACUACCAUGUACGGGAAUUUGAGAGGACCUUUGAUAUCAAGUUUCCAGCAUGUUCGAUUGCAGCAAAAAAGCACAUUGAUCAAAGUACAACAAUCCUUGAUGUGCAAGGAGUGGUAUGUGAAAAUAACUUACAGAUUAGUUCUCCGGAUCAACGCUUAAUCUCUUCUAAAGCACAUUGUUUUGAUUUUAACACGAUGUUAUGCUACAGGGUCUUAAAAGUUUUAAUAAGGCUGCCAGGGAACUAAUUACUCAGAUUCAGAAAAUUGAUGGUGACAAUUACCCUGAGGUUCUAAUUCAUCUCUAUUCUUAGUUAGCAGCCAUCCAAGUCUUUGGUUGGCCUCUCUAUGGAAUCUCCAAGUACUAGCUGUAGAUGACAGAAUUCUGAUGAGUAAUUUCUUUUCCUUACUACAGACCUUGAACCGGAUGUUCAUCAUUAAUGCUGGUUCAGGAUUUAGAAUGUUGUGGAAUACGAUUAAGUCCUUCCUUGAUCCAAAGACCACGGCAAAGAUUCAUGUAAGGAUACACACACGUCAUAUUGCUCAUGUUGCCUUGAAAGUUGAUGGCAUGUCAUUCGCAGAUUAUUUUGAUCAAGGGAAUAUAUCUGAUCAGUGAAAUAUACUAUUGAACAGGUGCUAGGGAACAAAUAUCAGAGCAAGUUGCUGGAAAUUAUUGACGCUAGGUAAACUUAUAAUGCACAACUUGGCUUCAUUUGGUACUUUUGUCGUUUAAAUUUAUCAGUGGUUUGGCUUUUGCACCAGUGAGUUGCCGGAGUUUUUGGGAGGUAGCUGUACUUGUGCUGAUCAAGGGGGUUGUAUGCGGUCUGAUAAGGGCCCAUGGAAAGACCCAGAUAUCUUGAAGGUAACCCUGGCACUUUUGCUUUGAAUAACAAGACUGAUUUUCUUGUUCAUAGCUGCUCUUGAAUUAGCUAUCUAAAAAUGUUGAUCCAUGGACCUGUAGAUGGUUCAAAACGGUGACCACAAAUGUAAAAAUAUGGGUGGGGCUCAAAAACCUGAGGAGAAGACAAUUUCUGAGGACGAGACAAUAAGCUUCAAGGUUUCACUUGUUCUCUGAAACAUACUUGUCUUUCCAUGUUGUUUUUGAGUCCUUGUUCUUGUCAUUGAUCAAGUAUGUACAAUUUUACUCAGAAAAUUGAGACUUCCAAUGCGGAGAGCCCCAAGGAACAGUGUCCGAGGCUCUCUCCUAUUCAGGAAGAGUUUAAUGUACAAGUUCUUCCAGUUCCUCCUUACUCUCAAUUUCCCUUUCUGGUCAUUAUGAAUGAUUCACUGGUAUCCAUUGCUAAUUUUUCCUUUCCCUUUUUUUUCACGAAAUUGAACCCCACAGAUUAUGAAGCAAAAUUUCCACAAGUCCUUCAAGUACGAUGAUCGUUUUGUGCCAAUGGUCGAUAAACCUGUGGAUGCAAGUUGGCAAAAAGUAGUUGAGAAUGAAAAAUUCUAUCUGAAAGGUAUCACUCCGUGCUUGUGCCCGUGAAAUAGAGAGUUUAUUUGUCUUCUUGAUAAAAGAGGAAACGACUAUAUAUUUGAACUGAAUUGUCUGUCAGUUGGAGCUGAAGAUUACAACAUGCGGCAUGAGGUUCCUGAAGGGAAUAUUAGCUCUCAGCUUUUCACUGGAGUGAUGGCCUUCGUUAUGGGCAUCGUAACGAUGAUCAGAGUGACAAAAAAUAUGCCUAAAAAGCUAACAGAUGCCACCAUCUACUCCAAUCCCGGUUACAAUGUUGACGAGGUAGACCGGCAUAAGUCUACACCUGGAAUUUAUGGUGCAGAGUACAUUGCUGUCAUGAAGCGCAUGGCUGAAUUGGAAGAUGCAGUAACCAUUUUGAGCGCAAAACCUGCAGCUAUGUUAGCGGAGAAGGAGGAAAUGUUAAAUGCUGCUGUUAGUAGGGUUGAUGCUUUGGAGCAAGAGCUGAUGUCAACUAGGAGGGUAAUAUGAAUUUCUUACUGAAAAGCUGUGAUUCAUGUCUUAGGGAUUUGUGUGAGUGAUAAUUCGACGUUCAUAUACAUACAGUGCCAUUAAUGCACUCAUGUUUGAUUGCCCAGGCUCUGGAGGAUUCACUUGCUCGUCAGGAGGAAUUGUUAGCAUUUAUUGAUAAGAAGAAGAAGAAGAAGAAGUUGGUAUGCUAAUAAGACUAGCUAAUAAUUUCUUUAUAAUACCAAUAUGAGUUUAUUAUUCAUUUAGAGUACGCUUUAUCAUUUUCAAAAUUCUUUUAUCUUGCACUGCAGUUCAACUGGUAAACAAAGAAAAGCUGGAUACUAAGAGAUUCGUAGGAAGAUGGUGCUGUGCGUGGUGAAAUUAUCUCCUUUGAGGCCACCCAAAUGCACACUAAUUUGUUGAUUGAUUGUAAAAUACAUUUAAAAGUUUUGCUCAGAUGUACCAUGUGGCCGUUUUUUCACUCGUGUAUAUUUUUUAAUUAAAGAAAGGGCUUCUUAUUGUAACUUACUUGCAGAUGCAAGUAGCUAGGUGAACAUUUUAUGUAACUUUUCUUUAUUUAUUUCCAUGUGUGACAAAUGAGGGGACACAGUGUCCAUAAGGGAUCGAAGCUUGUGUAUACAAUCUGUUUAGUGUCUUCUUGAUAUUUGAUAUGAUAAGUAAAAGGCUGUCUUGUAGUACUCAUUGUAAUCAUUAAGAAAAUAUUAUGAACAAGGCAAGGGCACAAGGCAUAGUCUAUUAGUCGAGCAAAACUUGAACCCUGUAAAGAAAUUAAUUAUACAUUUUUUAAUAAUAGACACUUUCGCAGUUAAUCAAACCUCAAUCUAAAAUAUUAGAAGAAUUUCCUUACCUCGUGAAUUGUUUCUCUGAGCUCUGAAUCUGAUGAAUUCAUAGGGCCGAUUAGUGUCCCAAGUUCUCCAAGAAGAAUUUUAAUUUUCUCAAUAUAUAGCCUUUGACAAGACAAGAAAUGUGCUAUUCUGCAAAUUACUCAUGCAUCAAAGCUCAAGAAAAUCAACUUAAGGAAAGCAAGUUUAGCCGAAGUUGUUUAAACAUUGGUGAGUCUUUGGUGUAUGUUUGUAUACCAAAGUUGUUUAAACAUUGCAAAAAAUAUUGAUUUUCACUCAAUAGUUGUAAACCGUGCAAACUUUCUUGCAAAAAUAUCAAUUUUCCACUCUUGACUAAAUAAUACAACCCAUUUUUUUUUUUAACUUUUUUCCUUUUUUCUUCAAAUUUUGCGUUUUAAAUUACAAGUGUAUAAAAACAAAGGACAAUACACUUAACAUACAAUAAGUGUAAAUUUAAGCAAAUUUAAAUUUUUGUAAUAUUUUUCAUAAUAGUGUAAUCUUCAGAUUUGGGCAGUCAUCGAUAUGCAUGCGCCAUUGCGCCGUCACAACGAUCCAUUACGUGAGAGAGAUGUCAUUCGUUAUUUAAUAGAACUAUCCUUUGGAGAUUCCUGUCAUUAUCCUGUUUUUGAAUCGGCCUAGUCUUUUAUAUAGUUUAUCUAAAUUUGUGAGGAUAUUUUAACAACAAAGUGGCUGUAGUUUAGUGGUAAGAAUUCCACGUUGUGGCCGUGGAGACCUGGGCUCGAAUCCCAGCAGCCACAUGAUUUUGAUUUGCAAAAUUAAAAAUAAUUUCUUGUUAAUUUUUUUAUUUCUUUUCCCCACAUAGAUUAAUUAUUUCUAUACUUAAAGCUACUUCGAAUCUAUAGUUCAAAAUAUACAUAAUUUUAAUUCAUGACUGUUAUUAAAGAAUUAUUGAUUAAAAAACUUCUUUUUUUUUUUAACAACAAGGUUGUACAGUAACAAAAAUAGGAAAGUAUAUAACAAAUUUUAAGAUUGUGAAAACUCGUAAAAUUAGGAGUGCUUAUUAAAAAGGAGUAUCUUUUUGAAUUGAUUUAAAAGGUUCUUCCAAAUGAACUAAUCAACUAAAUAUAAUUGAAAACAACAUUUUAGAAAGAUAAUAGAGGGUGGUGAUGUUUCCACCCCAUAAUUUUUUUAAACUCACCAUUCCUAAUAAAUAAUUGUAAUAAGUUCACGAUAUUUUAAAAAAUACAAAUAAAGAAGAAGUUUGGAGACUUAAUCAAAUAAAAUAAAUACCUAAAGUACUCAUUUUAAAUUAUUACAAUAAAAUAAUCAUGUAAGACUUAUCUUAAAACAACCUUGAUAGUCAAAGAUACCGAUAUAAAAAAUAUUAUAAUACGAAUUUAAUUGAUUAACUGUAAAAUUUUUUGUUGAUUUGUAUAUUUAAGAAAUAAUAAGAAUUUAUCAUAAUUAUUUUUUGUUAGUGGGGUGAAUUAUAAAAAGUAGUGGAGAGAAAAUAUGCCUACCCUAAUAAUAGUUUACUGAGGGGCGAUAAUUGACCUCUCAUUUUAUUUUGGGCUUGCUUCUCCGAAGUUUCUGGUAACAGACAUCGGGCUUGGACCCAUAGCUUCCCAAAUAGGAUUUCCCUAACAACUUCUUCUUGGGCUUGUUUUAAUUUGGGGUUUCAUAGGGUCACACAGCCUCUUUUUGGAUUUUGGUAGUAGAUUUCACAUUUUUAGGCUUAGCCCUCUUUUUUCAUUAGAUUGGAGCGUCUCACUCACACCCUUCAAAAGUCCUGAUAAAACCCCUCCAUUCUAUUGAGUUUACAAAUUUUGACCUUAAUAAAAAUUAAAUUACAAUAAAAGAUUAAAAAAAAAAUUGUAUAAUUAGUUUAAAUCAACACAUGAUUACUUUUUAACUAAGAAUUUUUCACACCUCAUACGUCGUGGUGUUGUACAAAUGAUUUAGGGAAUUAUAAAAUAAAAUAACAAAUAAUUCCAAAAAGUUUAUGACGAAAUUUCUAUCCCGCCAAAUUCUUUUUAUCUCCACAAAUCACAAAUCAAAUUGUAGAGCUAAAAAAUAUUGGGAGAACAACACAAGGGCAAACCCUAGCCGCUUCCCCAACUGUCACACCAUUUUAACAUAGGGAGGGAGGCUUUAUAAGGAAAUUGAAGUGUGUCAAAAUCUCAAUUACUACUCUCUAUAGUUCGUGCUAUAUAUUGUUUCAGAUAGCUUUUAAGGCGAUUGUACACCACCAUACGUACCUACCUACAUGCAUGCAUGCAUGCAUAUAUAAGUGGAAGAUCUAUACAUCGCUAUACGUUUUGAAUUGAUAAUAGCAACAGUAGUCGUGUAAAGGAUGCAUGCUAUGUUUCUUCAAAAUACUUUUAAUUCUUUUAAAGAAAUGGAUGGCUUUGGCCUUAUGGCCUAUGUUUGUUAUAUUUUUCAAACACAGUACUAAUCAAAUUCCUCUUUUUUUUUUUUUAUAAUAGAAUUAAAAAAGAAUUCCGUUCACGUUUAGAAUAGCAAUUAUCCCUAACCAUUUCCAAACUGAGGAAAAGAAAAUUACGUAGGAAGUGAUGUAAUAGGAUAAGCUAGCAGAAAAUUAGACUAUUGUUCCCAUCGGACAUAAAAUAGCAUCAAAAUCAAAAUCAAACAAACGUUUUUUAAUUAAAAUAUAUAAAAUUUACAGAUGUACAUCGAUUGAUUCCAAAUGCGGACCUGGCCUCCGGUGACAAGACCAAACGUUGUAUGGGCCAUCCCAAAGGGUCGAGAAAAUUCGGCAAAUUAACGCAAGCCAGCCGGCAUAACACCAUCUUUCCACGUGGCGCGCCGUAGAGCGAGUGAGACUACUACGUACCGAAUGUUUCUUUGAAGUAUAUUGUCAGGUAAACCCUAUCUUAUAUGCAUGUAAGAUAGAAGUACCAUAUUGUCAUUCACGAGAUUAAUGAUGGAUUGAAGGAAAAGCAAAGGCUUAAUUAUUAUUUGGGAGGCUGGGAGGAGUAUUCUCAAAGCUUUUCAGUCCUUUUUUCACGUUUUUACCAAAUGCAGGAAAGCCAGUCAAGAGCAGGUCUUUUUAACUACUCCUCUUGCCUUCGCGCUACCUCGCCUGCCUGGUCCAAUCCUAGCACAUGCAUUCGCCGCCAGCUCAAGAUUUCGUCGCAACAUUUCAGUUUUAUACAUUUAAUAAUUACAUAAAAAAAAAAAACAAUUUACCUAACUAAUAUUUUUUUAUUAUACUUUAUCGGUCUUGCUCUCUCAUAAAUAUUAAAAUGAAAGGCUAUGAAAUUCAAGAAAUUUUAAUUACUUGGUAUCUCGAUUCAUUUAAGUGGAUAAACAUAUAUUAACAAAUUGAAUUAAAUAACUAAUAAUAUAAAAAAAAAUUAAAUUAAUUGUAAUCAUAUUACACCUUAUAAAAAUUAAAUUUAUAAUUUGUGCAAAUAUGAUACCCUGUGGAAGUAAAAAUUUAAAAAAAAAAUUCUUUUUUUUUUUAAAUUUUUAAAAAUUAUUCUAAUUUUAGAAGAAAGUUACUUCCCCGGAUAUUGGAAACACCAAGGCAGAGAAGAGAGCAAAGGAUAAACGAGGGAGGGGAGCUGGAGAGCCAGCCAAAGCCAAAGGUCAACACAACGGAAGGAAGAUACGGCUGCUAAUUGCUAAUUGCUAAUUGCUAAAUGCUAACAAUAAAAAUACAGACGUAAUUGUGUGCGCAUGAGUGAAGAGUGAAGACUGCAGCAAGCCGAAAGCCGAAAGAUGAUAAUUACUCAAAGAAACACGUCGACUCUGGUGUCGUCUUGUGUAGUUUUUAAAAAAAUUGCCAUGUGGGCGUCGCCUCUUCUUUACUCCCCUAUGCAUAUGUAAGCAUAAAUUAUUCGCCCUCUCUCUCAGGCUCAGGCUCGGCUCUGAAUCCGAUCGCGACGAGAUAAGGAAUCUCACAGAUCGGAUAAACCAUUUAGAUCCCAUCGGAUCAGACAUUCAGAAUAUAGAUGCAAUGUAAUUUGUAUUUAAGCGACGAACUCGCUGCUCCCCUUUGAAUUCCGAAUUUUUGUUUUUGACGAAUCAGCGAAGAAGCUUCUUAUAUUGCAUUCGAUUGAGCUGCUUUGGGGAUGGUUAAUUGGCUGAAAAGUGCAAAAGUUUACUACUUGGAAAAGUAGGUGAGAAGAGAAUCAGCGAUCGCGAAACAUCAAAGCAAACAAGUCGUAGCGGCAAGUAAGUAUCGAUUCUGAAUGUCCUUUUCUUCGGUAUAUAAACAUAUCUCUUCGUUCAGCUUAAACUUCAUACUAUUGUCCGCGUUUUUUCGCUUUCAAAUUGAUUGUCAUAUGUAGGUUUCUCUUUUUGCCCCGCUUUUUUUUUUUUUUUUUUAAUGUUUAAUUGAGCUGUUGUGUUAGUCAAAUGUAGUCAUAAAUGGAUUAUUUAGACUGAAUUCUUGUUAUUUUCAGGGAGAUGGCCACUCUGGUUGAACCUCCAAAUGGGAUGAGGUCAAGAGGGAAGCAUUAUUACAUGAUGUGGCAAACAUUGUUUGAAAUUGAUACAAAGUACGUUCCAAUCAAACCAAUUGGUCGGGGAGCAUACGGGGUUGUCUGUUCUUCCAUCAAUAGGGAGACGAACGAGAAAGUUGCGAUCAAGAAGAUCAAUAAUGUGUUUGAGAAUCGAAUCGAUGCAUUGAGAACUUUGAGGGAGUUGGUGCUGCUCAGACAUAUUAAGCAUGACAAUGUUAUUGCUUUGAAGGAUGUUAUGAUGCCUACUCAUAGGAUCAGUUUCAAGGAUGUGUAUUUGGUUUAUGAGCUCAUGGACACGGACUUGCAUCAGAUUAUCAAAUCUUCUCAGUCCCUGUCCAAUGAUCAUUGCAAGUAUUUUGUCUUUCAGGUAUUAUAUCACAUCUUUAGUAGCAUUUUAUAAGAGGGGUUUUUUAAUGGGAUUAAACUGUGUGAAUCUGCUAAAUAACUUCAUUCUUUUUACUGUUUUAUUUCCAAUGCAGAUUUAUAGAAUAUUUCUUGACAUAAAUUUUUAGUGAGAAUAGGAAAUGUAUUAGCUUGCUUAUGAUUGGACUUUGCUUAGCUGAGGAUUUAUAAGUUUAUGUAGAAAACUUGUUUGCUUAACGUUAGAUGGGUAUUCAAGAAACUGAAACAAUCAACUUGGAACUAUGUUGUUGAUUGUUAUAUUUGUAAUUUUGGAAUUUUGAUACUCCUUCAAAUGGUAAUCUUGCAUCAAAAUCUAGUAUUGGUUGGUUCUUCUUGACGUAAUUUACUUUCAGUCCUUUAGUUGAAAUUUGUUUGCUUUUGAUAACUUCAAUGAAGGGAAAAAUUGAUAAUCUAUUAGUCCUGCCAAAAAUGUGCUGUAACGGUGUAUAUCCUGCAGUUCUCGACCAAGUGAUGCUUAUACCUUGAACAUUCUUCUGAUUCAGCCUUUUGUUCAAUCACAGAGGGGGUUAUCAUGUCAAGGUCCUUUUGUGAUGUUGUUUGAAAUAUGUCCCUCUGUCCCCUCUUGUGCUCUCUGUGAUUGGAGUUUAAUCUACACUACAGGUAGUUAAAAGCUGUGCUGCCUGCUAGUACCUUAUGGUUACAAGAACCCUCAUGCCUCUCUUGUGUUAGCACUAAUGACUGUCCGACUAUGCUAAAUGGAGUUUGAUUUAGUGGCAUAGAAACUGUGUUUUUUUUUCUUUUUUCUUUUUUUACAAAACUGUAGAUGACUCUCAAGCGUUUUAUUGUGUUUGGUAUUUGGUCUGAUAGUGAUAAAUUUUAAUUCUAUGUUUUAGUUGCUGCGAGGGCUGAAGUAUCUUCACUCAGCAAACAUCCUUCACCGGGACUUGAAGCCUGGGAACCUUCUAGUCAAUGCAAACUGUGACUUGAAGAUAUGCGAUUUUGGAUUGGCACGAACCAGCAGGGGCAAUGAACAGUUCAUGACUGAAUAUGUUGUUACCCGCUGGUACCGUGCACCUGAGCUCCUACUCUGCUGCGACAAUUAUGGAACCUCCAUCGACGUGUGGUCGGUCGGAUGCAUAUUUGCUGAGAUUCUUGGAAGGAAACCUAUCUUCCCUGGAACUGAGUGCCUUAACCAGCUAAAACUAAUUAUCAGUGUCCUUGGAACCCAACAGGAAGCAGAUCUGGAGUUCAUCGAUAGUCCAAAAGCCAGGAGAUUCAUCAAAUCACUCCCUUACUCCAGGGGGACCCACUUUUCCAGUCUUUAUCCCCAGGCUGAUCCAUUAGCCCUAGACUUAUUGCAGAAAAUGCUUGUUUUUGAACCCUCUAAGAGAAUCACAGUCACAGAGGCACUUCAACACCCUUACAUGUCAGGGCUCUAUGAUCCCCAGUGCAACCCACCUGCCCAGGUUCCUCUUAGUCUUGACAUUGACGAGAACAUUGGAGAACAGAUAAUCAGGCAGAUGAUGUGGAAUGAGAUGCUACAUUACCACCCAGAGGCUGCAUUUGCCAUUGCCUAGGUGAUGCUAUAAAAGCUUUCUCUGUUUCUGCUGCUUCUUUGUUGUCUUAAGGCUUUACAUUUCUACUUGGGAGGGUUCUACUGAGACUUGUGUUGGCAAAGUUCUUCCACCAAGAUUUUUGUCUAGCAUCUUUUUUAUUAAUUUGAUACUUUGAUUAAGGGACAUGCCUUCUUGAAGCUUGUAAAUAUUUAGUUUGUGUUAAUAGUUUAUGAAUAUAUGGCUGAUUGGCUGUUGUUUUAUUUAUGAUGCGUGUAUGAUAUACUGUCUCUUAGUAAUCUUCAAUAGUUCUUAUUGUGCAAAUAUUAUUCGCAAGAUGUUAUUCUUUCCUUCCAGAAUUGUGAAUACUCCCAGGCAACAGUGUGUCCUUGUUUACCCACCUAUCGAGCAAUACAUAUUUUCUCCGCAACUCAAUUUUAGAGUUUACAAUUCCAAAAGGAUAAAUUUCUUUCGAGAGUGCAUUUGAUAAGUAAAACCGGAGGCAAUGCGUUCUUCAUUUGUCCACUGCAAUUUCCCGACGGUUAGCAGACGUCCUUACCAGCUUUGACAGCAAGAGGAAAAGGGUGGAGGCAAAAGGAUUUUUAUUUGAUAAAGGAAGGAAUUUUGAAUAAAGCCUCGAACCUAUAGAGAGUAAGCAAAGCCCAAGUCUGGAUUCAUUAAGAGCAGUACUAAUUGCACCCAUUAACGUUCUUUAGGAGCCCCCAUCUCAUACAUUAGGAGUUGGCAGGCUGCCACCGCCAAAAAGGAAUUAUUCCAAAGAAAUAACGUUCAUGAAAUUUUUUUUCAAGAACUUAUAAAAAAUUGUAAGAGGGUGAAUUAGAGUCAUGCUUAUUCAAAAUCCACGGUCGAAAUUAUGGCCAAAGUCAUAAAGAUAGGAAAACAAGCACAUACAGAAUAAAUAUAUAUGAUCUCCUACAACCAAAUUUACAUCCACGUGUAUAAUAAUGACAGAUGACAUGUGUCCUUAUGAGUGGGGUUCAAGGUAAAACCUUAAUUUCACAUCACCUAUCAUCUAUAAAUAGAGACUUAUCUCUAAAAUAAAUGGGUCUUUAGCCUUUGAGAACAUUGUUCACAUUUACAAAGAGAAAAUUCAUUUUCUUCUUCUUUCUUUAAUUUUAAUCAAGUACUAAUUUAGAAGUUAAAAUGUCUUUUUCAUGUAUUCAACUUGAUAGAUUAAAAACUAGCCAAUCGUUACAAGUUCUCAUAAGCUAUAGAUACGUGUGAAGGUAAAGAUCUAACCCUUUAAAUUACCAUUUGUAUAUAUUGGUUAUUUGGUUAUUUAAGUUGGUAUUCUAAUGAGCUUCUAUAUUAAGACUUCAAAGUGUACUUUAACAAUGAGUGAAAUUUUGAUACUUUUAAUCAUCAUUAGGAGGAAAAUUUAUACUUAUGAAGCGUAAGGCGUGGAUUGCUUAAUAAAUCUAAAUUUUUAUAGAGUUUUUAAAUAUUUGGUCAUUUCCCUUAUAAUUUGUAUAUUGCAACCACCCACUUCCCCAUCAGUCAACAUUUUCUUUCCAUAUGCUUCAUGAUUCAUGAACAAAGAAACAUAGACGAUUCAUGAUCAAAUUAUUUUAGGUUCGUAAAUUUACAGUACAAUUAAAUUAGAAACUGAUCCUAUCAAUCGGCUCCAUUAUGUUAAGAGUCACUUUUAUAUUAUUUAAGGCUACUAAUCUGCAUCCGUAUGAGUUAAACACUAACCCACUCCCGUCGGGAAACCUAAAAACAUGGCUCUCGAAAAUUGAAAGGUCGAAUGAUUGAAUUCAAAGUUGAGGGAAUCUCGACGUCGGUUUUCUAGCCGAUUACCUACGUUCAUAGCCUUAUCUUUACUUUUGUCAAUCAGAGGGUAAAAUUUGUUCCCAAUGAAGAAUUAACUUUGAGAUUGGAAAAAAAAAAAAAAAAAAAAAAAAAAAAACUUUGAGAUAUGAGAAGAAACAGACAAAAGGAUGCCGCUUUGCUUUCGAACUGAUUGGACUCCACUUGAUGGGGAUUGGGUAACAUUAUUAGCAUCAUGUGAAACUCCUACUGCAAAGCUAAAGCCUAAAAAUGAAGAUGAGAAAAAGAAACCCCCGUCCCCAUGUAAAUCACGACAAAUUCGAGUGGCCCCUUUUUUUCCUAUACCACCUAUUUUGUUAACUGUAAUUAAGUCAUGCUAAAUUGCUAAGGGGUCAUGUUAAGGUACGUGAGACGACAUGAAAAAAUUGAAGAAUAGUAUCAAAAAGUUCAAGUAUUGUUUGUUUAAUUAAUAGGUCUGAGUCAAUCGGGUGUAAUUUUUGUGUUGAAUAUGAGUUAUAUAUGUAUUUUAUAAAUGUUUGCCUGGGCCUGUUAGUUGAUUCUUCAAUUCUGUCUUUCUACUACUGUUAACUCACUAGAUUAUACGUUCAAGUUAUUUUUAUAUUUGUGGCUUAUGUACUCUUUCUGCAGUAAGAUUUCGAAGAUCAGUUAUGCUCGCUCAACAAGUUUAAAUUGCUCAGAUAAGUAAUCCCAACCAUUACUUAGUAAUUUGAAUGAUUAAAUGCUACUUUAAGUGCUACUUUAUGGAUUCUUCACAAUUUCAUUUAUGUUCACUAUAAUGCCCGAGCUUCAACAAUCAACAUGCACGUUCAGCAGUUUGAAUUUUGAGGCACUUAUAUUUUUCUUUAGAAGAUAACGUUCUUAAACCAAUUAAGCAUAUACAUAUUUCCUUGCUAUAGGUUAGCAACGAUGUCAAGCCAGUGUGCAUGCCGCCAUUAUCAUGGCUCAACCAUGAUAGUGUCUUUCACAAAGGUAAUUUUAAUAAUUUAAAAAUAUGCAGGAGCAUUUUUUUUCAAAUUAUAAGAUCACCAUUUUCAAAGAUACAGUAUUAUCAAACUGGCUUUAGAAUAAAAUCGAAAUAUUAUUUGUUUGACUGCAAUCUCAAUUAAUUAACAAAAUUAAAUCUAAACGUUCUUGAAUUGGUGUAAAUCUAACCGUCUGGGUUUGUAUAAUAAUAACGAUAGCCACAAAUUAUUUUUAUGAUGACUAUUUUAUGCAACUGAAAUUGUUAACAUAAUCGAUUGAUUAGAAGAUAAUGAAACACAAUUGAUUGAAUAAAAAUAAUAACGAAACUUACUAUUAAUCAUGUGAUUUUAUGAUGUUUACAUUCAUCAAAUACUGACACACCAAAUUUACUUGUAGGAAGAAUUUAGGAUAUUACUAAUCUUUGUUUAUAAUAAACACGUGACAAUUAAUGCAUAAAAUAUACAUGUUUCAUGUAUAUAAUAGUUAGGAGAAUGAUGGGAGAGGAGAUACUUGUAGGAAGGUUUUAUAAUGUGUAAAGAGCCGACCCAUGUCCGGCCAAUUUAUAAAAUUUGAUGCAAGCCUUCAUGCAUGUACACUUCUUGAUCUACAACUGUUACAUCAAAAUUUAAUCUUGAUCAUUGAUUUUUAAGAGAAAUGCUAUGCUUAUUCAUUUUCGAUAAUUAAUUGGAAUACCCAUUAAUGUAGCAUUGUAAAAAUAAUAGAUUAAUAAUUAAUAAUAAAAUCAACUAAUAUAAUUUAUAUGACAUUAAAUAAUUUGUGAUACAUAAAUGAAUAUCCCAAUAAAAUAUCUAAACUAAGUAAAUAUAAUAUUAUUGAAUUUUAAAACCAUCAACUUUAAUUUGUAAAUUAAUUUAUGACCACAAAUCAAGUUUUCUUUAAGUUUAUAAUUUAAUAAUUAGAAAUGUAUCAUCUCUUCUGUAAAUACCCCCAAUUGUUUUGAAAAUUUUCUAAAACAUAAUUUAAUUUCCGGCUCUUCGUACUAAGUGAAAUUUUCUAUACCUGUUUUAUACAUUUUCAUGAAUAAUUGUCACUUCAUUUGGUUAUCCCAAAACAUGAAUUAUGUGCAUCUAUAAUUUUACAUAUGUGUAAUGCUAAAGAGAGAAAAAAGAUGAGAAUUUUGCUCUUUCUCUACCCAGCCUUCUCUCUUUUUUUUCAACACACUUUCUCUCGUCUUUCUCUCUUUAGUAUUUUUUUUUACAUUAUCUUAUACUCCUUCGAACUAAUCAUUAUUUUUGUACGCAUAACUGUUUAUUUCAAAAUAAAUUGCACGCCUGGGGCUCGGACUCGGAGCUUUUCCAUUCACACCAAGUAUAUUUAUUAAUUCCAGUUUCUAUAUAUGUACUUUCUAUAUACAUACGUACAUAUAUAGAAACUAUUUCGGGUUAUGGUUGGCGUUGGUGGAAACAGAAACACUCUUGGCCUUAGGCCAGACUCAGUAGUGAUGAUUCCAAACAGAAGCAGUAGUGACGAGGACUUGAAGCGUCUUCAAGAUAUGGAACAAAGGCGGAAAAGAAUGAUUAAAAGUUGAGAAUCGGCACGUCGCUCCAGGAUCAGGAAGCUGGAGAAGUUGCAUGAGUUUAAGGCUCUCAUCAACCAUCUCAAGGAGGAAAACACACAGUCGUGCGCUCGCUUGAGCGCGUGACGCCAGUCUUGCUGCCAACUUGCAACUGAGAAUGCUACUCUUAGGGCUAACCAAAACCCUAGGCCGAGGCUUCCCCUUCCCCUUGUCUGUGAAAAGAUUAAUGCUGCUUCCAGUUCUAUCCGACCAUCUCAUUGAACACUACCUUGGGAACCCCCAGUUUCCCCAAUCAACGCACUAUCCCUCCCGCUAAUGCCAUUUUUAUUUUAUACCCAUGUGUUCUAAUUUCUAGUAUUUUACAAUUAAUGGAUGCUCUUAGAUAAGAUGGGAGAUGGAAGUGUCAUGGACUUGGUCUGCAUGUCUAUAUGUAACUACGUACUACCGGAUGUUAUCUGGUUAUAUAUUUCACCUAUUAGUUAGAGGCCAAAACUACGUUGCUGGACUCUUAAUUAGAACCUCUAUUAGUAAACGAAAAAACAAAAUAAAAAGUUAAAAGCCUAUAUAACCCUUAUGUCAGAACUGAAACAAAGCUCCGUCUAGCUGCAGAAGUAAGCCCCAUCUUAAUUCAUAUCUUUAUCAAAAGGGAGGCGUGUGCAUAGCUUUAACAUCUAGCGAGGCUUGUUCCAAAUUCGACUACUGUAAACACAUGGUGAGUUUAUGCGUUUAUUAACAACUGCAUUGAUCAGUCUAUUGAAUUAUUUUCGCAACAAUUGCCCACCAAAAGAUAAAAAUGAACGAGAAUAUUUUAUCCAGUUGGCACUUAUUUUUCAUGAUGAGUAAUGAUUUCACUAUAUAUAUUAUAAACAUGCCUAGUCAAUUGUUGAUACCAUACUAUGUAAUGCAUUAAUCACUCUUCAGUUCUGGCUUAUAGUUAAAUUAAGCCGCUGCUCUAUGAAGGCUUCUAUUAGAAGUCUAACCACGCCAUGUUUCUAUUCUUCAGUGAAGAGUAAUUUCGACUAAAAGUAAUACCAAGAAUUCAUCACAACAGCUCGAGAUUAAUUUACAUGUGAAAGAAAGCAACCCUGAGAAACUUUAAUGAUCAGAUAAGACUGACAAAGUUAAUGCUAUGGGACUCUAGAGCGCACUGCGAGCAUGCAUAGCAAAUAAGCAAAGGCCAAAGAGGAAAGGAAACCGCCACUAGGGAGAUUGUGUCAUUGUACGUACAAUUACAAAGGUAAAAACUCCAUGAUAAAUCAAGACAAAGCUGAACGAAUAUUGGAACAUUCUACAAUACCCCUCACCAAUUGUAAGUUAUUGCUUCCGAAAGAAGUAUCGCUACUACUGUCUACAUACAUUUUGCUGACCACAAUAAUUCAUAAGGAUUAAAUAAACAAAAAGUAAAAAAGUAAAAGCUUCUUCAGUCACUUCCUUCCAGAGAAAGCUAGCGAACGUGUUUGCUUGUUUGUUUUUUCUUUUCAGUUUAUAGUAUGGUUAAUUUGGAUCAUGCUUUACUCCUCACAUUUACUAUAAUUUAGUUCUUGUUCCGUAAUCUUCAAAGGAUAGUUCAAUCAUUUUUACUUAGUAAAUAGCCAUCGUCGAUUGGUAAAUUUUAUAUUGUCCAUAAAUUUAUAAGCAUAUAUAACAUACUUCCAAAUAAAAACAUGAAACAUUCACGAAAGCAUAUAUAAUCAGCUUUUACCAUUUAGAAGAAUCAUAUAUAUUAUAGAACAAUGCAGGGAAACUCAAAAAAAAAAAAAAUUGGUGAAAAAACAUAUAUAUACUAUCAGAAGAAUGUAUAGCUUGAAAACCAUUAUCGUACCGAAAUUAGCCAAUUUUAAUUUAUAGACAAUGUCGUUAUUUUCACUGAACCUGAAAAGUACCGGAAACUAGAGAGAAUAUAGUGGCAAUUAAAUCAUCUGUGAUGUGAACUCCAUGGAGUCUGAUCGCAAAGUUCUCUAAAAGAUUAACAAACCAAUAUGGAAUCAUUCGCCACCCAAAGACUAUAUCAGCUGCUAGUGGUUGCCUGCUCAAUAAUAACAAUAACAGUCAUGAAUCCCGGAAAAAACAAAAAAAAAAGGUUGUGGCAACACCUUAAGGCCUGCCAAAGCUGAGGGAGAAAAUCUCAUAUCUGCGGAGAAUAUGCUUUCUAGGCUAAGUUUAAGUUUACGACAAUCUUUUUUAGUGUAGAAUACACAAGUUAAUAAUUCUUUUUAUUCAAGUGAUUAUAAUCUAAAGUUAGAAAACUUUUCUUUCCUAAAGAAUAGUUAGUCAGUCGGCUCUUGUAUUGAAGGUAACAGGAUAAUGGUUUAAAUCCAAUGACAUAUAUGUUUAAAUUUGAGGAUAUGAGAGAUUGAGGUUCAUGCUUAAGUAAAAAGAAAGAAAGUUAUGGAGCUUUUAAGUUUUCCCAAUAGUCUCUUUCUUUCAAAUGAUCAAACGGGAAUGCAUUAUUGUUGCAUAAAGGUUAAAGAAAAAAAGAUAAAUAUGGGGCCAUAUAUUUCAAAUUAUAAUUUAAAUUAAAUGCUUAAUCAGCUAUUUUUUUCUCUUGAAAAGUAAAACUGCAGGAAUUGGUUAAUGUAAUGUUAUACAUUUUCUAUCUCAUGUACCUUAUAAACUAGUUUUUUUUUUUUAACCUACUACAUGUUUGAGAAAUGAAUAUUAUAAUAUAUAGGAAAAAAAGAUACUAACACCUUCAAAAUUUAGGAAAAUAGUCACAAGAACCUCCAUAUUUUUAAUAAGGGAUCAAAAUCCCCUUUUUACUAUAAUAUCAUUUCACUCUAUAAACCCAAAAAUAUUGACUUCAAAAUUUUAUAAUAAACAGAAAUACGACAUUAUACUAAAUGUAAUAAUAUAUAAAUUUUAAAAUAAUUUUCAUAUUUAAAAAAUAUUUUUAUAUUUUACAAUCUAUUAGACCUAAUUUAUUACAUUAAAGUAAUUUUAAUAAUAAAUAGAAACAAUAAUUUAAAAUUUUAAUAUUAUUUUAAAUGUUAAAAAUAAUUUAAUAUUAUUAGUUUACUAGAUAGAUUAUAUUAUUAAUAUUAAAUUUAUAUUAAUUGAAAAAACUUUAAAUUUAAUUUUCUAAUGACUAUAUUCAAAGAGUAUUAUGGAAAAAAAAGAGUCUUGAUAUUCCUUUUCAACCCAAAUUUUAUACUUGAUACAAAAUUUAACAUAAGGGUGUUUAAUUUUUUUUUUUUUUAAGAUUGGAAAUAGCCCGUUCUAAACUAAAACACUUAUGAACACCCUCAUUAAUUAACUUUAGUCAUAAAUAAAAUCCAAUUUUAAGUUCUCGUCAAAACGGCUUUCAUUUUGUCACCUUUUUUGCUUUGAACUUUUUGUGUGUGUCUCUCUCUUUCUUUAGCUCUUUUCAUUUCUUUUCAAAAAUCCUUGGAUUGAUCUCAGUCCUUGUUAUUACUAACUCCGUAAUACAUCUCCCUCCAUUAAUGUUUUUUUGUUUUUGUUUUUUCUCAAUAACUUGUUCUUGAUCAUGUUUUCUGCCAUGUUUCCACCACCAAGUAAAACGAUUUUCUCAUAUUUUGCUAUAAAAAGUAGUAACAGGCUCCGAGUCAACAUAGUUCAGUCCUUCUCUGUUGUGUUCUUAUACUGGUUUUAUAUGUUUUCACGAACAGUCACUUCAUUUUAAUUAAGCAUUAUUAAUAGCACCAGGUUCAGCAGGGUUCUAUAUAUAUACGUGCUUUUACUAUACUAUUGGAUCGGAUCAAACAAAGUCCACAUACUCUCACAGUCAUCUGAUGGCUUCUUCUAGUGGAAACUACUCUAUUAGGUCAGACAUGCUUCAAAACUCAACCUCUGAUGAUUAUCGUGAGAGGAGAAUGAAGGCCAAUCGUGAAGCUGCACGCCGUUCCAGGAUGCGAAAGCAGGAAUAUUUCCAUCGUUUAAUUGCUGAUAUUAGCCGUUACCAGAAGGAAAAUGGCCAGAUUCGUGCUAUGAUCAGCCUUGUCACUCAAGCUUACUCGAACCUUAUGAAUGAAAACGCUGUUCUCAGGUCUCAGCUUGCUCAGCUCCAACACAGGCUCCAUUCUCUAAAUGGACUCAUUGCUUCAACCAACGCAGUUUAUUUUGAUCAGCCAGCUACUCUUCAAUUUUUGGCUAAUUGCACCUCUAACGAGCUCAUUGUUGAUGAUUACCUGGGGAACAGUGACACUUUCAAUUACCCCUAUUUGAGUCAGCCCACCAUCACCGUGCCUCCAUUUAAUAAUGGCUUGUUUAUGCUGUAGUUUCAGGUACUGAUCUUGUUAACUAAUCUAAUCCAGAUCCAUUAUUGCUAUCCAGUGGGCGUAAAGUGAUUGUGUUUAGUUUUUGAUCGAUUAAGACAAAAUAGUAUUAUGUGAGAUUUCGUGGUAGCAUAUGUAAUAUGUCUUCAUCUAUGAGCCAUCUAUUAUUGUUACUUAUGAGGUUCAAAAGGUUUGUAUCUUAGUGAUUUUUACUUAGUAAUUAGAACCGAGAUAUAUGUAUAGAUUAUCAAAACUGAAUUUUCUCUUGUUUAUUUGUUUUACAUUUUAGCUUGCGUAAACUUCUAUAUAUCCCAAUAUUUGAUCAGUUUAGUAGGUGCAUAAAAAUUAUUUGAUCAUAUUGGAUCCUACUGGAUUUUGUGACUAAACAAAUGAUCAUCACGUCUAUUAUCCUGCACGUGGACAAAAGAAAAUAGAAUUUUUGGUUACUUGGUCAAGUGUGUUGUCGUUGCUUCUUGGAUUUGGAUGGUUGACCAAAGCUUGGAGUAUGAUUUGGACCGGUGGGUGCUUGCUGGUGUGAUGCUCCUGUUACGAUCCUAUCAAAAGGGUAAGGCAGAAAAUGAUUAAUUUCCCUUGUUAACCAAAUCGAUAAUAAUCCCGUAAUCUGAAAAAUACUGGGAGAUCAUCAUCGUGCGAUAUGACGGUCAUAGACUUGGGCAUUGAGGAUGACAAUUUCACCGUCCAAUUAUCAAUGGGCUGAGAAACAUAUUUUAAGGCCCAAGAAAACUAGACCGAUAUAUUGGGCCUGACAACCACUAUUUAGCCCAAUUCUUUGACUACCACCCAUUUUGAUUGACGCGGGUAAGAAGCAAAUUUGCAGAAAUAUAAACAAAAGCCAUGGCAAUCAAAAACCCUAGAAAAUGGCGGUUCACGUGGGAAGCUCAGUCUCACUCUCCAACUCUCAAAUUAUUUGUCUUCGAUUCGCAUACUCACACAAACACCUCAAACCAAUGUCAAAAUCUCGAAGUCAAUCUCAAUCUACCCAAACAUCACGUUUCCAUUACCUGGGUUCAGCAACAAGACUUGCAAAGUCAAAUCUCGCUGCUAGUUCCCAUUCCGAAAGUUUUGAUCGACUCCGAGUCCCCGGUUAGUUACCGAGCUUUGGCUGACCACAUUGAAGUUAAGCUCGUCUUGCUUCUUCCCGUUGAUCAUCCGAUUGUCGCAAGCUCUGAUUCCGUGCUUCGAUUGACUCAAAUUGCCGACUCUCACUUGUCAACACCACUGCUGAUGGAUUCUGGUGACUCGCAUUUAUUGUACUUAUUUCUUUUUUGUUUUGUCAUUUGUGCUCCGAGAUCAUAAACUAUAAGCACAUGGCAGCCAUUGUGCUCUAACAUGUGUGUUAUGCACAUUCAACAUGAAUUAGAUAUAAAGAAGUUAUCAUUGAAGAAGGAAGGUGUACAUUUUUAUUGCAGAAAUUGCUCGACUAAGUUGACUAAAACACCUAUUAGGUAAGAAUUUUUUUGUAUAGCCAUUUUAUGAGCUUUGCUAUGCAUUGGACAUCAAUCUGAUGGUUUGUUUCUCUCCUUUUUUUUUAAUUUCUUUAAUGCAUAAAUGUAGAAAUUUUGUGGAGAUGCCAUCUGUUAACUGGCAAGAGGCUGCUGACAACUGGUUUGGAGCUUGUUGUUGUUCAUUUGGAGGCAUAAGUGAGAAGUUGGUAACUAGGUAUGCAAAUUGCUACACAUGUGUAACGAGUAUGUGCCUGUUAAAUUGUACAACUGUUACCCUUUUCAAGGAUGAUCUUGUGGGAUGCAAUUUUCCUGAGCGGGUUGGUGGCGGAAAGUGCCAGGCUGGACUGGCCUCAACUGUUGAAGAUGUUACAUGUGGAUCUGCACUAGAUCCUGGAAUUAUUUACAGAAAAACUGCUGGCUGUGAUGACCAGAAUGAGCUAGUGCAUGAUUUUAGUGGAAAAUUAAGUUUUAUGGGUCCUAAGGAUGAAAACUUUAUUGUAACCCAGCAAUUUGAUGUUAAUGAGAAAGAAACUAGCGGAGACAGCUUGUUUUGCACAUUACCGGUAUCUGGUUCAUCUGAAAAUGUGGCUUCUGCCCCUGGAUGUUGUGUUCAUGCAACUCAGGAAAUUCAAGAUCAUGUUGGUGAAGGUUGUAAACCUACUCUGUCUGAAUCUUCUUCUCUGUACCAAAAAACUGAGAGAAACACGGCAGAUCAGAGAUCUUUUCGUAAUGGCUUUCUCGGAAACAUUUUCAUGGCUAGAUCCUAUAAUCUCUCAAAGGAUAUUGAGUGGAUUGAAUUUCUGUGUCCCUGCUGUUUAACUUUUCUUGGAGCAUACCCUUCUAGUACCAGUGAUGCCCCUAUAGAUGGUGGGGUUCGACUCUUUAAGUGUUACAUUUCCACUUGUUUACCUAUCAGUGGAUCAGAUGACAAAUUCCGGUAAGCAAACGUUAUGUAAAAUUUUCUAACCAACAUAUACGGUGCUAUUUUUGGACAAGGACCUCUUAAUAGAGCUUGACUUUUAUUUUUGUUGCUGGAUGGUAAACUAACUUUUCUCAUCAUCGGCAGGAAAUAUACUUUGGAGAGAAUGUUCACGAAUCAGCUUCUGGAAAGUGCAAAAGACGAAUUAUCAUUUCGGACUCUGGUAAGGGAUUUGAAAACCAAAUCUCCCAUGCUACAAAUUGUUCUCUUGAAUCCAAAUGCUUGGUGCUGUACUGGUUAUUGUUCGGGCAUGGACAGCACUACGGGGCCAAUUCUAAAGUUGGAUCUACAGCCUAUUAUUAAGGUUCUGUUUUCUGAUUGUGGGAGUAAUUCAGAAUCUCAAUCAAGGUUAGUCUUCUUUAUGAGUAAUAAUAUAGUUACAAAUUUUGGUACAAUUUUUUUUUUUUUGGUACAAACUGGUGGCAUGAUUAAAUUGGUUGAAUUAUAUAUCUCUUGAUCCAUAUGAUUUGAUUUUAUUAUUUUGUAUUUUUAUUCAACCAAUGAGUUAAUACCAAAUUAAUUUGUACAAAAUAAAUUUGUACAAAAAUUUAUGACUGUAUCAUCACUCUUUUUUCAUAAACCAGCUGUUUGCACUUUUCAUUUUAGGCUCAAGAUUGCCACUCAACUCCUUUAUUGUAGAAAAAUCUUUGGAAAGAAUUUUUUUUUUUUUCUACUAACAUUAUUUAAUAAGUGUUGUAUGUGCCAGUUGAGUGAUACCAGAAUCUGUUCUAUUAAUUAGUCUAAGAGACUUGAGAUUUUCUGCAGGAUAUUAGAUGAUUGGCAAACAAAGAAUCUAGCUGAUGAUGUUUUCAUGUUGAAACGUCCAAUAGAAGAGUUGAUCAAGUUGCUGGUGUCAGCAAAGGAUACACUUCCUCCUUCGUAUACUUCAAUUGAGGAUUUUCAUUUGUCAUGUUUGCAGAGGUAAAAAAAAAAAUAUAUGAUCCUUUGGCUUAGCUUUGAUAUUCUUGGAAUCCCAAUUUUAUAAAUGGAAGGGAUAUUAUGCUUAUCAUGCAAAGCAAGAAUAUUCAUGCUACUUGAAGAAUGAACAUUGUUUUUCUAUUUUACUGGGGAAAAUGGCCUUUUUAUGAGUUUGGGAUCUCUUUUGUUACACUACCCUCUAUAGUGCGCCUCUGAUAGUGUGCCAUUGUUUGAACUGCUCACUCAAGAGGAAAGAUUUAUCCUUGAAAUCAAACUUCAAUUGUCUUUACUUUUAUUUGAGGAUGAGUGCCUGGAGGCUGAAAAGUAAUUUUGAAAAAUUAAAAGUUAAUUUUAGUAUUUAGUAAAUUUUUUUAGAAAUUACUUUUGACAAAAUAACAUCAUUCUAUCUCAUUAUGGAGCAGAUUUCGAAAAGUAUGUAUCUUUUCAAUAUUUAAUUUUGAGAAUCGAUUUUAUACUUAAUAUAAUUUUAUAUAUAUAUAGAAAUCUAAAAUUAUCCUUAUUAAUUUUUUUAUAGUAAAAAUAAUCUUUAUUAAUUAAGAAAUAAAAUCAUUAACUUUAGAGAAACUAUGAUUAUUACUAAUUAUAUUGAGAUAAUUUUAUAUAUACAUAAUAAAAGAAUAUUUUAUAUACAUGUUUACAAAUAUGUAAAUAAAUUUUAUUCAGCAUAAUGUUUAAUUAAGUUACUUGUAUUUACAACAUUUUAACAGUAAAUUCACUAAACAUACAAUUUCAAAACUUACAACACUUUUAAAAAUAAAUUAUACCAAAUGUUUAAUUAAUUUUUUCACAGGUGAUUAUAUUUACAACAUAAAUAAUAGUAAUUAUUUUAAAAGUUAUAAUAUUACUGAAUUAGCCUUAAAACACAUCUUUUGUUUUGCUUAUCCUUUUGAAUGUUUUGUCUUUUUGGUGGUGGUUAAAUUUAGAAACAAAUAAGUAAAUCUCGGUUAUCCAAAUUAAUGAGAGGCAUCUCAAUGCAUCUAAAGAAGAAGGUAAGUAAAAGGGAAGAGAAGGUAAGUAAAUAUACUUCAAAUAAGGUAAAAUCUGCAUGUAAGAUACAAUCGUAAUUAACCAACUUACAGUUAUUAGAAAAGUAAAAAUGAUAGUGGUGAUAUAAAAUUAAUCAUGUAUAAUAAGUAUAAUUUUUAAAUAAUAAUUUUAAUAAAAUUGUUAAAAUAUAUUAAAAUAAUUGUUAAAAAAAUAAUUUUCGCUUACAUUUUUAUAAGUGUUUAUUAAAUACUUACAAUCAAAGUUUAAGAUGUUUAUCUACAAUACCAAACGGAGUUUUAAUGGUUGGUAUUCAAAUUGCAGCUAUGACAUGGGCCUUUAGGAAAUCACAUUUUGUAGUUGACACCCAUUUAACAGCACGAAAUUAAAGUUGGGUCACAUCAAUCCAACAUCUUUUCCUCUUAACUCACAAUAUCUAGAAAUGACGACAAAUCACAAGAAUUAUUUAUAGUGAAAACCUUUGUUUAUGUCAUUUUUUCAAUGAAAAAUCUUCUUUGGAGGAGUGAGAAUUGAUCUUUAAGACGUUGUUUCGCAUACUUCAACGAAUUUAUGGCUGUUGCUAAUAUGAACAGUUCUGUAAAUAGUAUCAUAUAAACAGUACUAACAAAUAAUAAUGUGAACAGUACCAACAACUACUAUUCAUGAAUUUAUAUUCAACGUUUGUAUAUUAUGCAAUUCUAUUCUUUAUAUUUUAUAUCCAUCUCAAUCUAGCGAUAAUCAAUGCUUGUUUGUUUUGUUGAAGUUGCCGUUUCUGUUGAUUUUGCUAUUUUUAAAAAUAAUAAUAAUAACAUUGACUCGUAUUUCCGAGAACCAUGUCAGGUGGAAAUGGUAAACUCCAGCGUUUCGUACCUAUCUAUAAACCAAUUAGUAAUCAAAAUUUGUUGCACCGUGAAUCAAACAUUGUAAUUUUUUUCUUUUUGUCUCUUUAUCUCUUUUCAUUUAAUCAGAUGAAAAUUUUGUAUUUAUUUUUUUCCUAUUAUUAAAAUUGAGGUAAUUUCCUCAUAUUAUCGGAUCAAUAAUAACCCAGCAUGCCUUUCUUUAAAGUUUAAACACACGUGGUCAACUCGUUCAGAAAUUCUCAGAUAAAGCAUGCAAAACGCAAUCCGAAUUCCAACUAAGGGAAGGAACGCAUGUAUGGCAGGCGGUGCGGUGAAGUGUCAGCAUUGAAUCUAUGUAAACAUUACCAUCGGCAGACACUUGUCAGCUUCCGGACAUCACAACGCAAACCUUCAACAAUAAUGUGGCAAUGGCCGGAACUGAAACGUGGCUCGUGUAGAGCGACCAAGGUGACAUGCACGUUGAUCUUUGAUAGUCUAUAUAACGCGAACCAACCUCGCCUUCUUUAAAACAUCACCGUUGAGAGUAACCUUCUUUAAUUGUAAUUGAAAAUUUCAGUCACAAAACGACACACUUGCAAGUUCUGGAAAUUAUAUUUUUAUAGCUAUAGCAAUUAUUUUAUUAUAUGUACAUAGCUAACUCAGUUAUUCAUUUUGGUUAGCUUCAAAAUGGCACAUUUUCAGAACCAAUACGGUGCAGUUCAGAAAACAAGCGGGUAUGAGGACCCAAAUCGCCAAGUAGACGCGUACGGGAACCCGGUGGUUAAAAGUACUGAUGAGUAUGGGAACCCAGUUCAUCACACUGGAGGCGGAGGGUUCGAUUCCACGGGUUACGGUGCCGCACCAGCGGCCGGCACCGGCAUAGGUGGAGGGCAUCAUGGUCAUGGCCUUCAUCGUUCUGGAAGCUCGUCAAGCUCCAGCUCUGUAAGUUGUUUCACUAAUUAAUUAAAUACCCAUCUACGUGAACCUGAUCUCUAGAUAUACUUAACACUACUCUCUUUAUUAUGAUAAAGCAAAAUCAUUAAUUCAUCAUGAGGACGUACUUAUGUUAUUUACUGUUUCCAUGAACAUAUGAUAAUGAUGUGCAUGCAAGUCUGAGGAUGAUGGGCAAGGUGGGAGGAGGAAGAAGAAGGGAGUGAAGGGGAAGAUAAAGGAGAAGCUGCCGCUGGGACACAAAGACGAAAGAUCAUCAUCCGCUGCUGCAACCACCACUCCUAGUGGUUAUAGUGUUACCGGGGAGGGGCAGAUGCGCCACCACGAGAAGAAAGGAAUGAUGGAGAAGAUCAAAGACAAUCUUCCUGGACACCGUCACUAGACUACCUGCCUGUACUUGUCUUUCGUCGACGACACAUACAAUACUAUAUAUACUAGUGCUUUUUAUUAUUUGCUAUAUUUUACACGAGUGCUUUUGUAAUAUGUCCAUAAUAUUCGUAGUUUGGCAAAUGCUACAUUACAAUUAAUGUAACAUACACACUCAACAACAACCAUACAAAUGAUGUGGGCCUAUUAUUUGUGUGGUUGUUGUUGAGUGUGUAUGUUACAUUAAUUGUAACAUAGGGACUCUCUCGUAGUUUUAUAUAUGUCCAUCUCUUUUUACUAGUUAUGCAUCUUGGGAUAGUAUUAUGUAACACAUACAACAAGCUGUCAAGCUAUUUGUACUAGUGGGUGGGCUGUUCCUUUAGUUUUGUGUAUUAAUACAGCUUUCUAUUGUAUUUUGUCAUAUAUAUAUAUUGAACUAAUUAAUAAGAGUUCUUUUGCUAAACGUUUUUUUAUCGAUUUUCCACACUACACCGCACCUUAAGCCUGCUUAUUCGUAUUACAAACUUUCAUUUCUGAAACUAGAUAGUAUCCUGAUUCUUACAGCUUAUAAGACAUGCCAACGGACGGCUUGUCGGUAUGCUCUUUCGUUUCAAUUUAAAUGACGUACUGGAGGAGAAACAGCGGAGGACAUCUCUCAUAACGAGUAUCUGUUAUUGGGGAUUUUGAUAAUAUGGUGAAAAAACAAAAAGAAGUAAAGAACUCAGCAUCAAAAUGUGAGAAAUUGGUUAAACCUCAGUAAUAGAAAUUUGGUUAAACAUUCAACCAAUUUAAGACAAAACAUCUUUUAACAAUCCGACGUUGAGAAAUAGAAAUUUGCCUUUGGCAUCACGGAUGAAACAAAAGCCAUUAGUAUGAUACCGGUACCCUUUCCGACGUUGACAACAUUUUAAUCAUAAGCGGUACUAAUGAAAGCAAUUUCCUUGGCAUUGCUAUGUGGCACGAGUCCAUACUUCCUGAUUAUCUCAUGAGGGUUGCCACAAACAUGAUAAUAGAGCAGAAAUUGUCACAACCAAGAUGAAGAGUACUUCAAAUUUCUAACAUUUGCAAAAGCGUAGAGAAAUUAUAUUUCAUCUCGGACAAUACUCAAAUCUGUGCGUGAUGCGCAGAUGAUGCAUGCGAAUGUCCAUUUUCUGUCUCAAAUUGAGCGGACUUCUGCGUUCUAUCUAUUUUCACUCGGAUCAACUUUUGUUAUUGGCCAAAUGACUCGAAUGAAUUGAGUGGCAUGAAACUACAUCAAGCGACAUACGUAGCACUACUCUGAACCCAAAAGGCAUUAGACAUGAAAAUCUAAAAUAGAUACGAAAGACAUCAGACAUGAAAAAUUUAACAUUAGAAUGAUUUCAUGCUUCCACUUUGGCUAACAGUACGCUUCUGUUUCUGGCUUCUGCAAAUGUUCAUCUCCCACUGCUUUGUGGUAACAAAUUGAGUGCUAAAACCGAUAUUUAGGAAUUACUUCAGUCUUCCCAGUGCCGAAGUCGGUAUCCUCUCAAGGGUAGACGGUGAUAAAUUUAUGUGCUUGACGAGUUACAAAUAAAUCACAUCUGUUAAAAAAGCACGGCAGGAUCUCAGCACUGGCAUUAAGAACCACAUCCUUUAGCAACACGCUCAUUUAAGGCCAAAUCUCCUUGAGAGGGCAGUCUUGCUUUGUGGGGAGUGUGCAGGACUCAUUUUCUUAAGUUCUUCACGGAUCAAAAUUAGCUCGAGCAAAUGGCAGUUCACAGAAAUUGAGACCAUUUCACAGUAACUCCAAGGUGGGACAUGGCAUGAUAUUGACAUUGGAGUAUUUUGGCAAACAACUACAUUAUAUCCAACUUUUCUUGAUGGGCAAGGACUAAAAUGGUGCAGGGAUCAGACUUCCAUGGACAGUCAAAUCAAAUGUCUAAUCACCAGUAAUUACCGCAAGAACAUUUUCCAUCUUGGAAGUGAUGGAAUCUCAUGUUAUCUCUCACAACAAUCUCCCUCCCUAUGACUUGAGAUGCACCACACAUAAACAAGUGACAAUCUUCACAUAUUCUCAGGUUCUUCAUAAUCCUUACAGUGGCACCAGGGAUUUUUUCUAUUUCCUUUUCUCUCGAAUGAACAACUGCUGUACGGCCAAGGCGGAUGUACGGUACAGCAGAGAUGCACCACACAUAAACAAGUGACAAUCUUCACAUAUUCUCAGGUUCUUCAUAAUCCUUACAGUGGCACCAGGGCUUGUAGUCAGCAACCCAAAUGCCAAAGCUAGCUUCUCACUAUGAGUCAUCAGUAUUCGCUUCUUCUCCUCAUCGCUCACAUCAUAAAGCACAGAGCGGAGAUUUGGCUGGUAUCCAUCAGCCUGUAAUCUAUCCAGAAGAUCCCCCAGUGCCUGCUGAAUCUCAGUGGAGUUUGGAUGGGUUAAGUCACCAGCACGGAAUUCAUGAAUAACUCCUCUGUCUCCUUCCAACCAGCUGUAUCCAGGAUUCUUUUUCAGACCUGUCAUUUUCAACAGCCUCCUAACCCUUGAAACAUCAUCCCACAUUCCAGCUGACGCAUAUAUGUUAGAGAGGAUGAUGUAAUUUCCUAUUUUAUCAGGCUCCAGCUCGAAUAAAUGGUUUGCAGCAAUCUGUGCAAUUUCUGGAUUCCGAUGGAUCUGACAUGCUCCAAGAAGUGCUCCCCAUACCCCACCGUUGGGCUCUACUGGCAUUUUUUCAACCAUCUUCAGAGCUUCUUCCAAGCAUCCAGCUCGACCUAAAAGGUCAACCAUACAAGCGUAGUGAUCUGUAGAUGGAGAAACACCGUAACAUUUCUCCAUGCUUGCGAAUAACUUUCGGCCCUGUUCUACCAGCCCCACAUGGCUACAAGCUGUAAGCACUCCUAUAAAUGUAACCCCAUUAGGUUUUGUCUCUGUCUUUACCAUGUCACCAAACAACUGUAUUGCAGCAUGAGCACGACCAUGCAUUGCAAACCCAAGAAUCAUUGAACUAUAAGAAAACACAUUCCUCUGCUUCAUGCCCACAAAAAUUCUAUAAGCAUCAUCUAUGCUCCCGCACUUGGAGUACAUGUCAAUAAGAGCUGAUCCGACAACAACAUUAUUGAUAGGUCCGAAUCCCGAUCCUUCGGCUAUUUCACAAACCCAAUUAGCGUACUUAAUCACACCCAAUUGAGCACAUGCUGAAAUAACACCAACCAACGUGACAUAGUCUGUUUCAACUCCUGCAUAUUGCAUUCUCUCAAAGUACUCUAUUGCCUCUCGAGGCUUAGCAUUCUGCACAUAACCCGUGACCAUAGCAGUCCAGGCCACCUUAUCCUUCAAAGGCAACUCAUUAAACAACCCACCAGCAGAUUCCAUAUCCCCAUUAUUCGCGUACGCCACAAUCAACUCGGUCCAGGAAACCACGUCUCUCUCAGGCAUUUCAUCGAACACCUUCCGGCUACAUCCCAAAAACCCGCAUUUCACAUACAUGCCAAUCAUUGUAUUGCCAACAUAUAAAUCAGAAGUAAAACCGCCAAGCAGAAUCGUCUGGGCAUGUAUUUGCUGACCCAAACUCACAUCAAGAACCUCGGUACAAGCUUUAAACAGUGCGGACAAGGUAAAAGAAACAGGGCCAAUACCUUCUCUUCUCAUAGAGCAAUACAAUGAAAUCGAGUCUUUUAAGUGCCCUUGUAAAAUAUACCCACGAAUAAGAGCAGUCCAAAGAAACGGGUUUUUGUAUUUCACCUGUUCAAAAACUAGACGAGGGAAGGAAUCCAUGGGGACAUUAAUUUUAGUAAGCGUGCGAAUGACCUUCGUGAGGACAUAGCAGGACUGGUCAAGGCCUCUGCGGAGAAUGUGAGCGUGUACUUGUUUGAUUUGAAGAAGGUCGUUGCAGCCAUCGAGUGUGGAUAUCAAUUGUGUCUCUAGAAGUCUCUUUUGUCGUUGAAGUUCAGACAAUAACUCGAAAGUUUCACUAGGUUUUAGCUGUUGAGUAAACUGUUUCGGAAUAUAACCCAGAGAACUCGCCGUAGAGAACGUGCGUGUCAGACUUACCAUUGACGCAGCGUCCAGGCGGGAAAGGUAUGGCUGUUAAAAAAUAAUGGCGGCGUGACGUUAUAACAGAAAUCAAAACGGUGCGUUUGAGAGUGUAUAAAAUACAUUUACUGGAAUGGUAGUUGUGUACUCUUGUUGUGGUUUGAGCAAUAUUUUGAACGCAAAAAUGUUUGUGAGAUAUUUGUCGACGAAGCCGAAACCGAAGAUGAAGCCCAUAGAGCUCAAAGCUCCACCGGAGCAAACUCAGACAAUUACCAGGGUUAUAUUUGACAUCGUCAAGGAACACGGUCCUCUCACUGUUGCUGAAACUUGGGAACGCGUCCAGGUGCGUAUUUCUAUUAAACUCAAUUUCAACUGUUUCAUCUAUAAUUUAUAAUCAAUACAAUCGAUCUGACAGUGAUCACUUAUCAUAAUACUAAACCUUGUUGUUUUACAUUUUCAGCAAGCUGGAGUGAGUGGAUUGACGGGCAAAAGCCACAUGAAGAUCGUGUUGAGAUGGAUGAGGGAGAGACAAAAGCUCAGGCUCAUCUGCAACCAUGUGGGCCCUCACAAGCAAUUCCUGUACACAACUUGGUUCACCAAACCCAACAACUUGAAUCAGGCAAAAUCAGGGAAAGAUCUUUCUCCUUAACAACCCAAGCUGCCUUAACCUUGUGUUUCUGAUUUUCAGUUGAAGAGUAAGAAGGUUGCUUCUUUGUCAAUUACUUUUUAGAGAAGUGAUGAUUGCUUGUUAAAAUAAGAGUUAUCUAAUGGCAUAAAGUUGAUGCAUGCUUGUUCAAAUAAGAAUUGAGUUAUCUAAUGGCAUAAAGCUUAGUUUGGUUGUGUUACUGGCUGUAAUAUGAGGUGAUGAUAUUUGAAGUCUAGCCUUAGGACAUCCCAAUCUCGUUUGCCAGGAAUGAGAGAUACCGCAGAUGCCACCAAUAUCAUAAUACAUCACUGAAAAUUGAAAAAUGAUACUGCUUUCAACUUUUAAAGUUUGCUCGCUCCAUGAAACCAUAUGUAAGACUGUUGUUAACCAUAAAUUUGUCUACAAUCUAUGAAAAAAAAUUUCGCUGAUUAGAACUAUACGAAAAAGGCCACUAAGAUGAAUGCCUCAGUAUGUAGAUAAUUUACAGGAGUUUCGGUUAAGGCUAGGAAACAACACCCAUACAUCCAUCCAUUAAUAAAAAAAUGUCACUACAUUCCAGAAAACUAAGCUCUGAAUUUAGUCUAUACAACCAUUUCAGCCAUCACAGCCCCCAGCUGAACUAAUAUAAGUGGCUCUUGGACUUCUUCAACACUUCUUUCAGUACUACAGCUAUUCUCUCUGCCAUGUGGUGCUCUUGAAAGAUUUCUUUGACCCUCUCAUAGCCUCUCUUUCCCAUUGUAAGCCUCCUCUCAACGUGUGUAGCUAGCUUCACAAUGUUUUUUGCAAGAGGAGUAAUCCCUUCUUUCCCAACGGGAUGUAACAACCCGGUUGUCCCAUUUACUACAAUCUCUGUGGUGCCUCCAGCUGCAGUUCCCUGAUAUAGACAUUUUUGGAGCUAAGUUAACAAAUAGUAUCAAUUCCGGCUUGAAUGCUGAAAACAUUACCAAAUAGAAGGGUGAAGUUCACUUAAUACCAGUACAGGUAACUGAAAUGCCAUGGCUUCGAUGGUUAUCCUCCCAAAGCACUCUCCCCAAGCCUGCAUGGAGUAAAAACAGGAAGCAGAUUUAUCAGAACUUUUCCAUUCAGUUAAUCCUUUUGUGGAAAAUUACAUGUCCACAAGGGAAAACGGAAAAAUAAUAACAAUAAUGAUUACAACAGUACAAAAACCAGAGGGACAACAGAUUGAUAAGAAACUUUAGAUGAAUUUCGGUGAGCCUAACGGGAGAAACUCGAAAUCCUAGGUCCUUUUCAUCUAUUUUGCUGACAUGAACUAUCCUGUGGCCUAAAUUCAGAAUUCCACCAUGAAAUGUUCAACCCUGAUGGAACUAACAACCAUAUCUCUUUCAUUUUUCCUUUGUUUGAAAAAUAAAGUCUGCUAAUCAGACACAGUCAUGGUGUGCUUGCAUGUUCACAUCAUUGGCUAAUUCCUUCCAAUUCUUCUCAGGUAAUAUGAUUUUCAAAUAUAUAACACAGGCCCUUUGCUUCCUAGCAUGGCAAUGAAAGUAUAUAAAGAAAUCACAACUUUGAGCACGUUUAUCUAAACAUACCAAUAAUUUCUGGGUGGAAUAAAUAAUAACUUUGCAGGCAUGAACAAAAACUACCUGGGAAUUCUGCACAAGAACAUCGAUUGCUGCUAGAUAAGGGGCCACGGUCAGAGUUUUAUUUACAAAAUGAACACGAUCUUGAAUUUUCUUCUGCAUCACAUAGUUCCGUAAUUCUGACUCAAACUUGGUUUGAGCAUUCAUGUCACUUCCUAUAAUCACUGCAUGCACUGAAGGCACUUCUAGCUUUUUUCCUUUGAUCAAUUCCAAGCUCUCAUAGAAUGAGCGAAGAAACAGAUCCUGCCCCUUUCCACGUGAAACACCUGAAGUUAAAUAGUACUUCAGUACACUUGAAAUAUAAAUUAAACAAUAGCAUUUACCUAACAGCAGACUCGGAAGAAGUUUUCCCAAUUUCUCUUUCAGUUUCUUGUAUGGACAGAAGGGAAGAUGAUGGGGCAAGGUGGGCUCUUCAAUGAGAAUGGAGAGAACAAAUCAGAACCAAAAAGUGAACAAAAGAAUAGAACAAAAGGUUCUUAGCGUUUCUUUUUAGUCGGGCAAAACCGAGAAGCACACAGUAAUCAAUACAACCGAUGCCCUGCAGUGGUAGCAACCUUUUUUAAACUUAAUCAGACUGAAGUAACCUAAGCAAAGAAGUAACUUGAUCUAAAUAAAAGCAGAUGCAGUCAGAAAAUUUGCAACACAAGAUCUUAUCAGCAAGAAAUUCAUACUAUUUAUUAUGGCAAAGAGUAAAUCUUCAUUUCGCACUCCAAGAGACUCCCGCACAUGUUCACGCAGGACCCUCUUUGCUACAUUGUCCUCAGCAACUUCCAUAAGUUCCUUGCUAUUUCCAAGGUGAACAACAUAGGUAUCAGGCAUUUUAAUCCUGCAGAGAGUAAACGUUGAGAAUGACAAUCCAAUAUUUGAGUAAACAAUGUGAUUCAGUUCUGUCCAUUUUAGAUUAUAAUUUCUGACCAAAAGUAUAGUCCGCCGAACUUGUCAAUCAUUUGUUUCAGAUGAACUAUAGAUUUCUGACCAGUAUAUGAUAUUCAAGAGCUGAUUCCUACAUUGAAACAUAAUGUUGGAAUAGAUUAUGAAUGAAGCAUGUAGGCAGGGCAUAAGUACAAUAUAAAUAUAUAGCCUUAGUCUUGUUAUUCUAUUGAAUGCAGUCCAAGCACAGGGUGUGACCAAGUAUCCAAGAUGCCAUGUCUUAAUAUUUUUAGGCAAGGAAAUUCGUUACUCCCGAACCUAACCUAAAUUCAAGUUUAUGAGUCAAUAGUUUGGAAAUGUCUUAAAAGGAAGCAAAAUAAAAAUUUAUCUUAUGGACUAACUGAGAACUGAGCUAUAAUAAUAAUAAUAAUAAGAAUAAUAAAAAGCAAUUGUGAAAACUUUAGAAGUUUACCUUAAACGCUCUCGAGUCCUAUUCUUCCAGUAUUCUGCUGUCACAUGUGAAUCAAUCAUAGCACCAGCAACCAAAGGAAGGUGCUUAACAUAGUCCAAUUUGAAGUAAUGCCCUCGCAUUUCGUGGAUCCACCACAAUACAUUUGGUAGAACACGAGGAACAUCUUCCUUGAGAACAGCAUCCAGCCAUUUGCCAGCAACUGCAGUGUUCAAGACAAUCAAAUCUGCUUUAAGAGCUGUGUUUAUAGUUUCUUGACCUUUAGCAGAAAUUACCUAACAAAGAAAAAAAAGUCAUAAUUAGAAGCCAGGUAAAGAAUUUUAAAUCAUUUCAAUCUCUCAUGAACACCAGACUGUCAGCAGAUCCCAUCAUAUAUGGGCUCAAAUCUAAGAUCCUCAUUUCUAUCCUCAUUAAUAAUUUUUCUUAUUUUAAAGAUACAUAGAUUAUACUUAAACUAGCAGGCUAAGGGACCAUGGUCUAUACCUUAGCAAGAUGGUCUCUUUUGGAAAAUCACAGCCCACUUUAGAAGGGGGAUUUACGCAUGUGAUCAAUGAGAUAACAGAAUUUUACAAUAUUUUCUAGUUCUUACCGUUUCAAAAAUAUUAAUGAGAAAUUGAGAAUGCAUGGGAAAAUUGCUCAAAGUAAAUACAAUAGUCCAAAUACAACAAACUGUUCACUUUUGCAUUAGCAUUGGAAAUGAGAAUAGGCACCCAAGCAUUCAACGAAAACAAAUUAUCAUGAACCACUUGAUAAUGGAAGAAAAUACAGAUAGUAGCAAAGUAAAAUCCUAAAAGGUGAAAAGCCAGCAAAUGCAGGUGUUGAACACGACACAAGAUGAUAUACAUUCAGGUCCUAUAAUCCAGAGAUCUUAUAACCUGUACUCCUCUGUCCCACAUCUUAUGCUCCAAACUGUAUACGACUUCAUCUUCUUCAGAUGGCUUCUGGAUAGUGAUCCAAUUAACCUUAGUACCAACACCCCUUAAUAGAAAUGCUAGCUCCAUCAGCAGCAAUGGACCACCUGAGAAAUGUUACAGAGAAGAAGUAUGCCAACAAUUAAAAAAAAUUAGAAAUAAAAACAAAUCGGGAGGGGGGGUAGAACUAUACUUAAAUACCUUACAUGUAGAAUGAUAAAUAUAUAAAGCAAUUAUUAAAGAAUUCAUAUAAUCAAUUAGAUGAAAUAAAUAUUCGGCCAUAAUUUCUAAUUAAUAAAAAAAAUAUUCAGCCACAUAUUCUUUUAUAGUGAAAGAAAAGAAAAUUCAAGAGUUAAGAUCAACUGGCCAAUCACCCCUCUCCCAACCAAACACGUUUGUGCUGAGUUGUCAUUUCCAUCAUAUUACAACUAAAUGGAAGGAAAUGAACCACCAGCUUACAUUUGGAAAAAAAAAAUGCUGUUUUAUACAUCAAUACCUGCCAGAUAAUUCACUCGCUCGUGUCAUGCAAGGAUAACGAAUAAUGAUAAGGACAAACGAAAAGCUUUAAAUGACAUGAGCUACCACGGUAGUAGUCUAGGGUCCUUCAUGCAUGCAUAAUAUAGUCAAUCCUUGGGAGGCACAUUCUAGAAAGCUAAUACUACAUAACACAAGCCAAACUAUGCUAAUGUACAACAUAAGCAGAAUACAGGGACAGCCGCAGGUUGCUACAACUACCAGGUUUUAUAUUCAUCAUUCUAACCGUUAAUAUCAGCUCAUCUGUAGCACAAAUUAUUUCCCUUUCAAGAACUAAGGCUCCGGCAGACCAGCAUUUGUUAAUGAACACUAAAGAUUAUAUGAAUUACAUUCUAUACAGCCACACAAUUAACAAAAAAUAAGGAUCCAAAUAUAAUGGUCUGAAUAGCAGGAAUACAAGCAUUGUAUUUUCCUAAUUUAAGCAAAAAUUGAACUCAACAUGAUAGGAAGACCCAAAAAAGUGUCUUUUGUACUCCGAACUACAAAUACCGCAGAGCCUUAACUCAUCUUAAAAUCUUGUGUUGCUAAAGAGUCAGAUGAUAAUUAAUGCAUAUCCCUUAAUACAUCUUCUCCUUAAUUAACAAUUACUUCAAUUGAACAAACCACAGCACUAAUGCAACCAGCACGACUGAACUGACUAGUAAAAUAAAAUAUAUAUAUAUAUAUAUAUACCAGAAAGAGAGAGUUCGUGUGAGACCAAGAGAACGAGCUUGGACUUCAUGAAACUGAGGGGACUCGAUUUGGUCGCGAUACGCGGAACUGAUUGUGAUUGAACUCGCUUCUUGUCGGAAACUUCCAGAUGACGAUCGCAGGGAUCCAAGGCAGCUCUAAUGAAGAAAGCAAUCGCUGUCGAGAUGGACAGCAUGAUAAGCAGGGCCAAUAUCCACCGCUUCGUCAGUGGGACCCACCACCCGGUCGCCGAGUGCUUCCCCAUCCCUUCUCUUCCCCUCCCCUUCCUUUUUACUAGAGUUUGAGAGGCUCAACGAUAUUGAAAGCUUUACCAGUCUCGGCAUUUUAGGGUUCCGAUUUGUGUCUCUGACUCAACUCGCUGAACGGUGUACAUUUGGCUUUCUGAGCUUUGACACUUGUUAAUUGAAAGUUUGUUCUCGAUGUUUGUGUUGUCGUUGUACUUCGAUGGAUUUGAAUUUACUUGUUUCAAUUGGGUUGGUUUCUUUGCUUCGCUUGUGUGAGCUAACAACUUGUUACAAAAAAUGAGAUGAAAUUAGUGUUUGACGAAAUGAAAUCAACUUCUUUAAAAAAAAAAAAAAUUAUGAACUCAUAUUAUAUUGACGUAAUUACGGCUUUUAUGUUUCUAACAAUAGCAAGAAAAAUAUCAAAUCUAAAUUGUUGUUUUCGUAGUUAAAUCAAGAAAAAUUAUAGUAAUAAUGUUGAGAUGGUUUUUGAGGGCAUGGUUACCUAUCCCAUUGGAAGGAAAUAAUUAAUAAUUAUGAGAAAUGAUAUUUUGCCGCUGAUAAAAUAUUAUUGUGAUAGAAAUUAUAAAGUCUUAUUAUAAAUAGAAUUAACAUUUUGUGUGCUAUAUUGAUAUUGUAGCAUAAAUAAUAUUCCGUUUUUUAUUUUGAUGGGAUUUAUUGAUAUUGAUCUUUCAUCCUGAAACUCAUGAGCAAUCAAUCUAUUGAAAAAAAAAAACCAUUUGAUAGAAAUUUAUCAUCUCAAUAGUUAUAAGUUAAAGGAUACAUUUUUUUUAGUUAAAUAAAUUAUAUUCUCUUAACUAAAGAUAAGAUAAAGAUUCAAUGUUGAGUUGAGUUUUUGCUGAGCGCUAAAUUAAUAAUUGUCAGGUGAGAGAAAUAAAAAAAACUCAAAAUAAAUAUUGAUCAUUGAUUUAGUGCUCAACAUAAGAAAAAAAAAAGCUAUCAUAAUCCUUUAACUAAAUGCGCUCACAUAAAUUGUUACAUUAAGUACAAAAUAAUAGGAUUAUUUUUAACCUAUAAUUUUGUCUCUUUACACUUAUUUACUUAACAAACUCAUCAAGUGUAAAUUUUAAAAGUAAAACUUUCACUUUAUACACCCUGCAAAAACCUAAAAUAACCCUUCUUUCAUUUGCAACCUAAUUAUUAUUCUACUAAUAGUCUUUCUUUAAAUAUUUUUCCCCUCAGUUCUUCAAUCUUUUUCUAUUUGAUGAAAUUAAAUUAAAUAAUUUAAUUAGUUAAUAAUAUGAUACGUCUUCUAUACGCUAAAAAUAUAAAUUACAGCGUAUUAUACAAUUUUGUAGAUGUUUCCAACAAUAAAGUUAUAAAUGACUGGUCAUACAUUGUAUACUUUGAUAUGACAGUUUUAAAACACUUUAUUUAAAUGUUAAAAAUUGUAAACGACAUGUCAUACAAAUUUUUAAAAUUUACAAGAUGUCGUCUAUAUGAUGAAGUUGUAAAUAACAGUUCAUACAAUUUAUACUUGAGAGUAAAUAUAUUACUACAUCCACAUACAUCUAAAAAGAAACUCAAAAUUCAACCGCAAGAUCCAUGUGCCUGGCUUAUGCCUAAAACUGUGUGCUUUUUGUGCCUAAAUUGGGUCCAGAAGCUUGGGCUUUAUUUUCCUAGGACUGUUUUUUUACCAAAACUCUAUUUUGAGCAUAAGAAGGCUUUCUCAAAAGUUUCAAAUUAAUCCGACAAGUUCUCAUAAUUUUUUAGAAAAUUUUUCAAUUAUUUCGAGAAUCAUCAUUUUUUUCUUAUGUUAAAAAAAAAAGCUUAAAAUUCAGCCACAAAGCUCUUGACCCCUGUUUAGGUCUAAAAUGAUGCGCUAUAACCUUCGAUUCUGAGCUUAAACUAGGUUAGGAAGCUUUAGCUUUAUUUUCUCAGGGCUUUUUACUUGAAGCAUAAGAAGACCUUCCCUAUAGUUUCACAUUAAUCCAAUAAGUUCUCUUAAUAUUUUGAAUUUUUUAUUUUAAAAAAAUCUUAGAAGUUAUUUCAAGUAUCGAAAUAGACUUUCAUUUUUUUUUCUAUAGUUUAAUUUCACUAAUACCUACGUGUGUGUGUGUGUGUGUGUUUUUUUUUUUUUUAAAGAAGCUUGAGAUUCAACAACAAAGUUCUUAGACCUAGUUUAAUUCCAAAACUAUGUGCUAGUCUUUGAUAAUGAGCUUAACUAGGUUCGGGAACUUCGGCUUUAUUUUCCUAUAGUUUUUUCUACUGAAACUCUAUUUGGGUCAUAAGAAAGUUUCCCUGGAAUUUCAGAUCAAUCUAACAAGUUCUCUUAUUUUAUAAAAAUAUUUGAAAAUUCGUAAAAAUUAUUUUGGAUAUUGGAAUUGACUUCCAUUUUUUUUUCUAUAGCUUAGUUCACUAAUAUCUAUAUGCCUACAAAAGCUAAUUCGAAAUUCAAUCGCAAAGCUCUCAGGCCUGGUUUAGGCAUAAAACCAUGUGUUAUAGCCUUCAACUCUGGCCCAGAGGAGCUUCGGCUUUAUUUUCUUAGUUUUUUUUUUUCUAACAAAACCUUAUUUGAGCAUAAGAAGGCAUCCAUUAGAGUUUUACAUCAACCCAAAAAGUUCUUUUAUUUUUUAAAAAAUAUUAAAAAAUUCUGUAGAAGUUAUCUUGGGUCUCUAAAUUGACUUUUGUUUACUUUUUUUUUUCAUAUAGUUAUAUUUAACCAAUACUUAUGUGCAUGCAAAAAAUCAGCUCAAAAUUCAAUUGUAAAACUUCUUUAAUUAGUUUAGGCCUAAAACCAUUUUGUACCCUUCUGUUCUAGGCAUAAACUAGGGCUUCAACAUUAUUUUACCAAGGCUUUUUCAACUGAAAUCCUAUUAGAGGCAUAAAAAGUAUUUUCCUAUAGUUUCACACAGGGGCGGAUCCAGCAUGUGACCAGUGGGGGCUCAAGCUCCCACUGGCCAAAAAAACAAUUGUAAAAAUAAAAGAGAAAAAUAUUUUUAUUUUCUAAUUAUCCCUUAUUAAAUUUAUUAAAAUAGUCACUAUAAAUUAUAAACCCCAUAAAAUUUAAACUUUAACUUUUAAGAAUUAUAAAAACCUAUAUUUUAAUUAAAAAUAAUGAUAGCCCUCCACCCAAAAUAUUUUCUAUUCUAAAAAAUAAGAUUAAUUCUUACAUUUUCUAUAAUAAUAGUAAAGAGAACGUUUUCAGUAAUGAAACUCAUGAAUAAUCAUCUUUGGAAUUGGAUGAGAUAAAUGGUAGUUUGGUUGUUUAUAUAGAAAAUAAUAAAUUUAAUAAUAUUGAUGACAAGUCUAUUGCAUAAUAUUUUUAAAAUAUGAAAUUUCGUAGAGAAUAAUUAUAAAUGUAUUAACAAAUAUUUUAUAUAUUCAAAAUUUUAAUUUUUUAUAUUUUACUAUUAUCUAAUUUAGCCCCCGGUAAAUUAUUCUUCUAGAUCCGCCACUGGUUUCACAUUAAUUUGACAAGUUAUUCUAAUUUUUUGGGAUUUUUUUUUAAUUUUUGAAACUUUGUAAAAAUUAUUUUGGACUUUCAAAUUGACUUUUUUUUCCCCUAUGAUUUAGUUUCGCCAACACCUAUUCUAGUUUAAGUCCAAAACCAUGUACAAUAACCUUCGAUUAUAGGAGCUUCGGCUUUAUUUGAGGCAUCAAAAUUGUCCCUACGGUUUAGUUUCACUAAUACCUAAGGACAUGCAAAAAAUCAACUCAAAAUUUAACUGCAAAACUUUUGGGCCUAAUAUUUAAAACCGUGUGUUAUAGCCUCGGCCUAAAUUGGGCUCGUCAAUAUCAAGUUUUUUUUUUUUUUUUUUGAGAAGCUCGCGAUAUCAAGUUGAAUGGAAUACAAUAUACUAGGGAUGAACGUUCGGAUCGGGUUAACCUAAAUUAAACCGAACCUGAUAUUUUGGGUGAACGUUCAGCUUGGGUUAACCUGUGUAACCCGAACGGAUUCAAACUAUCAACUUAUUUGGGUUAAAAUUUGGGUUUAACCCGAACAAGAUGAAUUUUUUUUUAAGUUUUGGCUUUUAAAAUAAUAUAUAUACAUAUAUAUAUAUAUGUAUUUAUUUAUUAAAUAAAAAAAACUCUGACUAUAUGUUUUAUGUUUUAGUAAUUUUAAAAAGACUUGUUGAAAUGUUGUUAAUGAUUUGAGAUUUUUGAAUUUUAAGUGGUUUUUGAUAGGAUUUGUGGAUUAAAUUAUUUCAACUCAUUCUAACCCAAAUUACCAACCCAAUCCAAUCCAAAUUACGAACCCAAACCAAACAGAACCAAAUUAAAUUCGGUUCGGUUCAGUUCGGGUUGGCAUUUUUCAUCCCGAUUGGAUUCAAUUCUCCAAUCAAAUCGGAUUGAAACCCGAACCGAAACCCGAACAACCCGAACCGAAACCCAAUAUGCCCACCCCUACAGUAUAUACACACAAAUUAAUAUAAUUUCAUUAAAUGUUAAGUAAUGCUCCUUAGUGUUUCAAAAAUUAUCCGACUAUUACAAUUUAAGUCAGAUAACAUAGCAGGAUCACAUUAUUAGAUAGUGUAAAAAUAAUAAAUAACUUAAUAAAUUAUGAAAAUUGAUCAUCUAAUAAAUUGUCAGCACUACAUGAACUCUAAAGGAUAAGAAGUAUUGACUAUUGAGAUACCACUUAGGAAAUUAACUGCUGUUUUAAAACGUAGGCUGAUUUAUUUAAGUUAUAAGAAGUAAAAAUCUGAAAAGUUUAUAUAGUCCUUUUUUCCAUUGAUUAUAAGAAGUAAAAAAUCCGGAGAGUUUAUAUAGUUUAUUUUUCUAUCGAUUACCUUGGACUAAUGAAAAUUAAAAAAAAAAAAAAACAAAGUCAUCUAGCUGAAAAAUCUUUUAGAAAUUUAAGUCCGUAGCUAAUCCAUGAAGUUUGCUGUCCCCUUUAGAGCUUGUGAUUUAACAAUAAACAAAAAGAGUUUGAGUAAUGAUGAAGUAAUUAAUUUUUAUAUAAAUUAAUUUAGCAUAAAUUUAUAGAUCACGUGAAAAUAUAAAAUAAUUAAAACAAAUGACGUGCGUAAAGAGGUUUUUAAUAACUAAUGUAAUCAAGAACUUUGAUAGCGACUCGCGUGUCGAUUGCCGGUUUCACAGGCGGGACGACGUAGCCAACACACUGAAAAUCGAGUGGACGUGUCUUCCACUUUCGCACAAGGCUAGUUGUGUCAUUUAAAACUCUUUGGAAAACAAAAAAAAAACCUCAUAAAAAAAUUUUUCAGCUACGACAGUCGAGGCAUUUCUUUUCCUAAGAAAUCUCUUUCUCCGCUGCUAGCUCAUUUUUUUUUUUAAAAACAAUUUUGCGCGCAAUUUUGCUGCGUAUUACAGCUCUACGUGCAAUCUCAAUUAGGUAGCGUCAUUUUCGAGGAGCUAGAUUCUGUAUCUGUUUUUGCAUCUUCUGUGUUGAUCAUUGAAGCGAUGAGAAGUGAAGGAUGCCAUUUGAAGGCGAGCUUAUUGGAUUACUUAUUGAUAUUAGUCACCGGUAAUGUUGCCAUUUGAUUAUGCUGAGAUUGCGUAGAUUUUGAGUCUCGAUAUAAUCUAUUUUAUUUUAUUUUCUUUUUUCCAUUCCAGCUGUUGUUUUACAGGGACUUGGAACUGUCGCAGUUGCAGUUCCGAGAUCCAAGUGCUACGCUCUCGAUAAUUCCAGUCGCAUUGUUGAUUUCGUAUCCAGCAUUACUCUGCAUGAAAUCAAUUUCAUGUUUAAAUAAAAGAAUAAUAGGCUACUUAUAUUCUAAACAAUGUUUCAAUGAUUUACGAUCUUUGUGCAAGACGAGGUUAUAAUGGUGCAUUUGAGAGUGUUUUUUACAGAAAAAUUUCUAUAAAAAACACUCUCAAACGCACCAUUAUUUCCACAUUUUUCACAAAGAUGACUUCUUUGAAAGCACUUCGGGGAAAGUGCUUUUCUAGUGCUUCUUGAAGAAGUACUUUUGUUAGCUGACAAGCGCAUUAGAAAAUAAAUAUAUAUAAAACGCUUUCAUCUAUUUCUGUAUUUCAACUAACCACUAUUCGGUAGACAUAAAAUCGGAUUUAAACAUGCCGAAUGGACUCCAAGAUGCACCUCAGUGACUUUCUUUUCUGUCCCUAUACACGCUUCAUUUAAAUUUUGGCUCUACUGUGCAAUGAGGUUGUUUUCCCUUAAGUUGCUAAUCAGAGUAGCUGGAUUGGGUUGCCUUUUGAGUAUGAAGAUAAGGUAACGUCCUUGUGCGGCUGUAAUUUCCAUAGUAAUAGAUUUUAGUGUCCAUGGAUUUCAUCUUAUGCUUGUCAUCAUACAGGACUCGGAUUUGGUGGUUCGAUUUUGCAAAGAUGUGGAGCGUAGAUCUCAAAUGGUAGUCCCUAACACCAUGUACUGAAGUACUAAAUCAUUAUGGUUUUUUUUCCUUGUUAUUAAUUGAACAUGCUCAGCUAGACUAAUAAUUUCAUUACUAUACCUAAAAAAGUAAAAAUUCUCAAACAUUGCUGCAAAUACUUCGAUUUUCAUUAGUUAAAAAAAAAAAAAGGAAAGAAAAAUGUGUUAUUUGAUCCUGCUGUUAGCAAAUGAACGAUACUUCUAAGUUUGCGUUUGGGGUCUAAAAUAAUUUGUUUCUGUGUGUACAUUAUGCAUGUUCUCUCAGGUGAUUUAAAUGUAAUUUAUACACUGCUGAGAAGCUCACACUUAUGCAGGGAUAUGUAGAUUUUGGUCGAUUUGAUGGAUUCAACGGCUUUGUGGCUGGUUCAGGCCAUGUUGACUUUGUUCAAGUAAGCUCUGUUAAUUACUGCCUUUGAACUUAGUACUCAUAAGUCAAGCAGGGGCACUUUCAUUGCAGUGCGAUGUUGUAGACUGCCAGAGUAGUGUCUCUCCUUCUCUUUAUCUCUGUCUGUCUCACUUGCUGUCUCUGGGUAAGUAACAUCAUGAUGAGAAGCAAAAUAAUAAUGAGAAUGAGUGAAGCCAUUGUAGCUGAAAUAGUCAAAGACAGAAAUUAUAUGCAGAGAAGAGAGACUAAAAGAACAGUAACUUUGUAGUUAAGCAUGCUUGCGUGAGAGCAGUACUAAGAUCAGUGACCUCUUGGGAUGUCCUUGUUUUGCGCUCCUCUUUGAAAAACAAUUGCCUUCUUUUAUUUUCAGGAAAAAAUGUUGCAAAUCUGUCAGUUGACUUAUGUUAGAUCUGUUUAGAAGAGUAUGAAGAAAUAGAAAUCAUUGCUAAAGGAUGAACAUCAAUCUUGGAAUGGAAAUGGAAAUGGAAUUUUCUUCUUAUGUCAUACAUAUCAUACCACCCCCUCUCCCUUUAUUUUUCUUUCUCUACAAUAAGAGGACUAACUCUCUCAGUCCAAGAGUUCAAAAUUUUUAUUUUUUAUUUUUUUUAUCAGAAAAUUUUAAAUUGAUGCCACAUUGUAGACUACAAUGUGGAAGUUUCUACAUGAUCCAUAGUGUCAGAUUUGGUAGGGCCUGAUGUAUUGAAGUUUCUUUUGUAUUUCCAGGGGUUUUACAAUGGUGACCUUCUGAAGUGUGAAGACAGUUAUGAUAAAAGGGGACGUACAGCACAGGUUUGUUAUAUCAAAAUGUGGGAAUUGGUUGACAUUACUGUUGUUUUUAAAAUUUCAAGUUUUAGUGAGUUGAUCUUACAAUUCAUAGACUCAACUUCCUUUGUCCAUGUAUCAUCAUCCCGCAUGUACUCAUAUGUGCAAUUAAUGAUUUUAUUAUUAUUAUUUUUUUGCUGGCAACAUCUCAGGUAAAUAUUAUUUGCGGGAAUUGUUCAAAUGGACAAUGCAAAGGUUUGUAAGCUUUUCAUGUUUGACUUCCGACAUCUUGUCCCUUCAUGCUCUGGAAUUGAUAUUUACCCUCAUUGAAAUUGUGGAAUUUGCGAAUAUCUCCAAUGUCAGGGAGACCUCUAUUUUGAGAUUUGGAAGAAUAAUUAAUAAGCAGAAUUAGGAGAUUCAUUUAAGUAAUUUAUGAAUCAAGGAAGUUCUAUGGAGGUUUGUAAAUGCUUAACCGGAGAAGACAGUGUCUUGGUAAAAACAGUAAUUACUAAAUAAAUAAUUUGAUUUAAUGAGAAGUUCAUAGAAGCAUUAUCCAGUGUAUCCUAACCUUUAUGCUUUUCCCUUUAUGAUUAUGCUCUAAUGCAAUGCUUCAUUUUAAGGAAAUGCUAGCUUUGAUGUUUUUGAAAUGUAGUUUUCAUGUCUACUUCUUCUUCUUCUUCUUCUUAUUAUUAUUAUCAGUCAACCCAAUUAUCUUCCCACCCAUGUUAGUGGGGUUCAAACCCCGGACCUCUUGUUUUCAACAUGAGAUUUUACCAAUAAGGAUAAUUUCAUGUCUUUGUCGCUACAAACUAUUAACUUGAUGCAAUCAUCCUGCCUCCUUGAUUGGAGGCCAGCUAUUUGAAGAGAGAGGACUGUUUAAUUGGAAUCGUAUUGUAUGAGAUUAGGAGAUGAAAAUCUACUAUAAUCUGGGUUUCUUUGAUUUCCUCAUUCUCAAUCAUUUGCAUGCCAUGCAUUUUUCAGAUAGAUUGCGAGUGUGCCUUUUGGUUGGGACAGGCACCGCCGAUUGUUUGGUUAUUAUCUUGGAUGCUAUGUUCUUUUCCUUCACUGCCUAUUUCAAUAUUAACCGUCCAUGUCUGAGGUGUCUUUGUAACUCAAAAUAACUUUUAAGACCUAAUUCCUCUUUUCUUGUCUUAUCUCAGGUGGAUUCGGAUGCAUUUGCCGUGUUACUUAUGAGUCAAGUUGCAGGUCUUAUUUGUAGCACAUUGAGUUCCAGUUUAUCUUGGAUUAAUUUUUUCAUUUACUGUAAUAUCGAGUUCCUUCACUUAUUAUAUAAUUGAAGUAUGUCACUUCUGUGAUAUCAAGACUAGAAAUUUGCACUUAAUGUGCUGAAGAUGCAUAGUUUACAAAAUGGAGGCCUGUUAGCAUUUAAAUUUUUGACAGCGAUAAACAGAAAAUCUGCAACUUCUUAAUUAUGUUUUGGUAGAAUAGUUAUGUAAAGGGCCUGUAAAAAUCUUUUUAAAUAGAAGAUAAAUUGUUAACUAUAUAAAAAAAAUUCUGAUGUCUAUUGAUUAUGAUUAAUGAAUAUAGGAAUACAAAGUUUUGUAAGAGAUUCCAAUAAGACUGAGCAAUGUUGAUGAUUGGUAAUCCAAAGCUUGCUGGAAAGAACUCUCAUACAAUACUGCAUGGUGGAAGGUCUUCUACUUUGAUAAGGGAACACUUGCAUAUUAGAAAUGCAGAGUAACCCAAAUCAUAGUCUUAGGUUUUAAUUGCAAAUGGAACAUGCACUGAUUUGGAAAGAAAUUGGAUAAAAAAUACUAAACCUGAGUUACAAUUGCUUUCCAGAACUGACCAUUUAUCCUUUUUUUUUUUUUUGGAAACAAUCUGUUAAAAUCAAUUGUAGUGAAUUCUCUUAUUCUAGGCUAUUUCUUCUCUUGCAGAGCUUUUGUCGAACUUGCCAUUCCAUGUGAGAAACCAGGUCCACGGGUUUUUGAGGGCUUUACUGUUGGUUUUAAUCCCCGAUCAUCAGAAAUUGUAAGAAACUUUAAAAACCUCAUCAAAUGAGAUAUGCUAAUAUGUAUAGAGAUAGGACAAUGUUUAAUAAAAAGAUUUUUUUGUCAAUUUGAAGGUUUACAAUGGCAUGACUCAAAUAGGUUUUCAAAGGUCUCACCAUGAAUUUAGGUAUGCAAUCAGUAUUAUAUAUUUUGUUUGGAAUUUGACCUUUUUUCGUUUUUAGUAGUUAUUUAUAAUUUGAUUCAUCAAAAAGAUUUGUUUCUGUUGUUGUUUCACCAUGCAGCUUCAGGACCGAACAGAUUAACGUGGCCCUUUAUAUAUCUGCAAUUGCUUCUGUUUCCACUUUGGUGCGGAAACCGAGUUUCAAGGUAUGCCUAAAUUUCUUUAGUGCAGCAGAUGGAAAUUUUUUUUAGUAAUGAAAAACUUUGCUUCAUACUUGAUCUUUGCUUAUUUGUGUUCCUUUCCAGGUUUCUCCAGAAAAAGGCCUCAAUGUUAAGUUAUCGGGAUCUGGGGCAACUGGGAGCCCCCCUACAACUUUGUCUCCCACAGUGUUGAUUGUAGAUUGGAGAUGUAUGAUUCACUGCUUACAGGGAUAUUGAUAUUUCUUUGUUUUUUAUCUUCUGAAUCUGAACUUUCAUUUUUAUCCUUUUCAGGUGAGAAGGCCCAUAGUAUGCCAUUUGGAGUUAAUAUCACCAUACCAAUAGAGGGUUAUGAGCCCGUUCAGUUUUUUCUUACCAAGAUGUGUGGUAAGUUCAUUUCUUUUCAUUUAGCUAAAUUGCUCUAUCUCAUUCUGUGAUGGUCUUUAUCCACAGCUGUGUCCUUUGUAUUUGGAUGAGUCUGUUGCUCUAUGUUGCUACUAUAAUUUUGCUAUAGAACUUGUUUGUGGAUAUCCAAUUGUAAUAUAUCCUUAAAAUACAUUGAAUGUGACUGGGUCCCCCUGCAAUGCCAUAUGUUCACUGAAUUUAGUCAGAAAUGCGUUUUUCUAUGAGAGGGCAAUAAGAGAAGGUGAUCUGAGGCAGAAAAUUUGUUGGGCUAGUGGUGGUAAUGAUUGUAGUGCAAAACAUCAACAAAAGCUGGCCUUGCUUCAAUUUGAGCUAAUAACUUCAGGUUGAUGUUUCAGUCCAAUUUUUGUGUUGUACUGAUCUCUUCCUUGUUUAUUUUAAAUUUGCAGAAUAUAGACAGGAUCAGGGAGGAGACUCUGCAAGAGGAUGGGCAACAUUUGGAGUGAUAUCUUGCAUGUACGAAAUUCCUACUCAGUUUCUGUCAUUGAAGUAAUAAGAGAAUUUGUUAGAUUGUGCAAACUGUAGAAAUUUACAUGUCAUGCUAACAUCUGCUUGAUAUUGAUUUGAUCUACCUUGUAUGUCAUAGACGAUUGCCAACUAGUAAAUCAUCUUUUAUUUGUCUCGGAUAUAAAAUAAAUAAAUGACCAAACAAUAUGUCCUGUAAGAGAGAGAAACAAGGAGAAUUUUUAGAGAGUCGUAAAGUGAAGAAGGAGAGAGAGAAUCAUGUCGAGUGAUAGUAGGAGAUGGUUAGUGUGACUCAGUUUGACUCAUUGACUCUUUUGUCACAAUAACCUGUAUCAUUUGACUUUCUUAUGUUUUUGAAUUUUGAUGUGUAAGGCUUAAUGAAUAAAAGUUCCAGUUUCCUUUCCUGGUUCAAAAUUCUGUGCUGUUCCCACUAUUUGUUGUAAAGACAAACAUAUCUUAACUAGUUAAUGGAAUAGGCUUUCACCCGGUUAAUGGUUUAACAAGGUAAUCGUGGAAUUCUAUAUCUUUCCCCCAUGGAAAUAAAUUUCUAUCCCUUUUUUUUAUUGUUAAUAUUUGAAUCAUCGACCUAGCUAAAUUCCAGUCCAUACCUUUACUGUGUUUUUAUUAAAUAAAUAAUCACUUUUCCCUUGAGUUAAAAUAAAAACAGUGCUUGUUUAGUUGUUUUUAAUUGAAUGAAUUGCCAUGAAGCAGAUUCAUUGUCGCAUCAACACUAUUUUGUUGUGGAGGUUUCAUUUACAAGACACGAGUGGAACAAGUGGUGUGUCAUACAGAUAUUCUUUCUUAUUUCUUCUUUUUUUUCCUCUUUUUUCAAUAUUUUUUUAAUUAUGUAUCUACUAAAUUUUUUAUUGAAUACAGCAUGGGAUUGAUGCAUUGCCAGGCAUGACAAUUCUUUCAGCGUGUUUGGAAACUGUGAGUAAUUAUAAUUUUGGCGUUUGUGGACUUAAUGUUCAAAUCUUGGUUAAGUUGCUUAGAUGCGAGACUGAUGGGACUGUUUUGGAAUGGCCUAUUUGUCCUAAGGAUGAUAUUAUCAGGUUUAAACGGUAUAGGCUUGUCUGAUUGCAGCUAUGAGGCAGGGUCUGCCAUAGCCUUUACCGGCAAAAUAUGUGAUAUAUGAUGAUAUUGGUAUAACAUACAUGCCUCGAAUUAUAUUGUACUCAUACCCUAGUCAAUAAGAUGGAAGAUUCUUUCUAUUUCCUUUUCUCUCGAAUGAACAAAUUCAUGUUUUCCUCAAGGUUCGUCUAAAUGGUGAUGGGAUCUUGCCGAGUAAGGCAUUUCAGUUCAGUCCAUUUUGCAGCAGGCUGAUUCUGACUUCCCAAUUUCUAUCUCACUCGCUUUCCUUCUAACAGUGGGCUGAAUUAUGGGGUGUAAUAACAGGUGAGUGGAGCAGGACAAAGCUACUCGCGAGCAGAAGAUCUGAACGGUGGCUUUAGGAAUGAAGCCUCGUGGGAGCACCACCCUGCUGCUGCUCAAGGAACACGGACAACAAGUGAAAGAAAAUAUGGUUCAAUUUGACAUCCGCGCUUUUCAAAAUUUUAGCACAUUGCUACAGUGCAAAGAGGGGGAAAUUAGUGUUCACCAAGCUUUACUCAGGCAGAUUUACAUGUGAGUAACUUAUUGGUGGGAUACAAACUUUUCUUUGUCGGUUGUAAAGUAGGAAUUCGAAUGAUCUUUCAAACUCAUAAAGCAUGCCACCUCUGAUCUCUUUUAUCUUCUGAAUUAGUAGGAACUAGGAUUCUAGGAAGACUCUUUCAGGAAAAAAGAAAAAGAAAAAAAAAAGAAAAGAAUAGUAGGAACUAGGAAGGCAGAUUUAUUGGCUUCAAAAGCAAUGAUAUUUUUUAACUAAUUGAUUAAUUAUGAUUGAUAUGGCNNNNNNNNNNNNNNNNNNNNNNNNNNNNNNNNNNNNNNNNNNNNNNNNNNNNNNGGGGGGGGGGGGGGGUAGUGGCUCGUUCACACGUAUGAAGCAUGGACCCGCCGAGUCCGGACUCCUGACAUAAGAAAUCACAUGCCAAGUCUUCGUCAAGUUCAUGGAGUUGACGCGUGGACGGUAAUCCCAGAUUUUUAUCUAAAGAAUCAGACAAUGAGAUCUUAAAUAUUGGCUUUGUCUCUUAACUCUCAUUCCGCAUGCACAUAUACUUUAAUUGAAGAGGUCGCUUGCGAUCGAAGGAUUAAACUGUUGAAGCUUUUUGAGGAGUAGCUGUCCAACCCUAGCUAUGUCUUCAAUUUUUUAUCAUGAUGCUACUCUGUUUAAUUUGAUUAACCUAAUAUUCUCACAUCAUGCUUUAGAUUAGAUUCCCUCUACACCCGAUAAUACACAAAAUAAUAAUAAUAAUAAUAAUUUCAAAAGGUUAUGAGGUCAAAAACUCACAAAAGCGUUGAGUUUAAUAUGAGCCCAAUUGUGUGUAGCACAGGGGGAAAAAAAAAGAAAAGGAAAGAGACAGAGUAGAGUCUUUUCCAAGUAACUUGAUGAAUGAAAGUAUUAAACUCAGAAAACUAAGUCACAAUGGUCAUGAAUAUACGAAAUCAUAUGACUGCUUCUAGCUAGUUGGCAAUUAGGCUUCCUUUCACUUUCAGAAUUUUUUAUCAAGCGCCACUUUUGGUAGAAAAUAAUUAAAUAAGUGAUAAUUGAUCGAGACGAUUGGCUUUUCCACAGAGCAGUUGAGUCUACUCCAGCUCUUUUGUUGCUUUUGUUCUCAAGCUUGUCUUUGGGUGAAGACUCAACUGAUAAAACAUAUAGUACCAGGUUGACCUGACUCAGGGUUUAAUCUUCUACCAAGUAUCACGUUUAAUUAUCUUGGUAGUACAAUAUGAAACUUGUACUGGCACCUCAAGUUGACAAAGGAAAAGAAGGAUUUAAUUAUACUUGUACAUGAAACGCUUGUCUACGCAGUUGAACUUUUUGAACAUGACAAUUUUUUUUUUCGCAGUUGAACUUUUUGAACAUGACAAUGUCUACGCAGUUGAACUUUUUGAACAUGACAAUUUUUUUUUUUUUUAUUAAUACACGGCAAAAUUUAAGCUUUGGUUUGAAGUUUGCAAAGGACACAAGGAAGCUUAAGAUGUUCAAAUCAGACGCAGUUGAUAUUAUAUAGACUGAUCAAAAUCAAAUGAGGUAUUUUUCCUUAUGUAAGUACUUGUAAAUUAUGGAACUCCAAAAGUUUUGCUUCGCUGUUAUCAGCUAAGAAGACAUGUACGGUAAUGUGGUGGUGAACUAGUCAGCCAACAGAUAUAGAAAGCUACCAACUAGCGAAUAGCGAUGGUUUCGUAUCUUCUUGAAAUUGAUGCGAAGCUGUUAGUCACCAACUCCAACAUUUUGUUCCCUUCAAUUGUCUCUUUCUCAAGACAUUCUACUAAGUCUCCUCUAUAAAUACUCAUAACUCACUUUUAACUCUCAUCUCAUCGCAGGAAGUUUCCUUUAUUCAGUUUUCAUAUAUAUAUAUUUCGAGUCUUCUUCCAUACAAGUCUUGCUUUUGAAAGUGAAAAACAAAAUACUAGGAAACAUCGAUGGCUCAGCUUAUGAUCUUUCUCAUUGCUUUUUCUCUCCUUGCCUUUGCCCCUCUUUGCUUCUGUGGCAAGUCCUCCAGUGGUUACCUCUACCCACAGUUUUAUGACCAUUCCUGCCCAAAAGCUCAAGAGAUAGUGAAGUGCAUUGUAGCCAAGGCUGUUGCAAAAGAAACCCGCAUGGCUGCUUCAUUGCUUAGACUCCAUUUCCAUGACUGUUUUGUCAAGGUUAGCUAAUUGACACAACUUCCUUCCGAUCACACUCCAUUUAAUUUUUAAGUAAAACCCCAUUCCUUUUUUUUUUUUUUUUGGGAUGUGCAGGGUUGUGAUGCAUCAAUAUUACUAGACAACAGUGGCAGUAUAAUCAGUGAGAAGAGGUCGAAUCCCAAUAGGAACUCUGCAAGAGGAUUUGAAGUCAUUGAUGAGAUCAAGUCUGCUUUAGAGAAGGAGUGCCCUCAGACGGUUUCCUGUGCUGAUAUUUUGGCUCUGGCUGCUAGAGAUUCCACUGUUUUGGUAAGUAGUGCUGUAACAAUUAGUGCUUUGCCACAAGACCAAGAUGGCCUUUCCCAUCUAAUCAAAUCAAAUUGUGCAACUGCAGACUGGUGGACCAAGCUGGGAGGUGCCAUUGGGAAGAAGAGACUCCAAAGGUGCAAGCUUGAGUGGCUCAAACAACGACAUUCCAGCUCCAAACAACACUUUCCAAACUAUUCUAACCAAGUUCAAGUUGCAAGGACUUGACAUUGUCGAUCUUGUAGCACUAUCUGGUAUUAAUAACUGAAACUUGACUAGUUAAUUUGUAUAUGUUAUCACUGUUCAGAAACUAGGCAUGUGUGUUAAAGCUUCUACAAUUUAUUUCAUACAGGGAGCCACACAAUCGGAAAUGCUCGUUGCACUAGCUUCAGGCAGAGACUAUACAACCAAUCCGGCAACGGUCAACCGGACAACACUCUUGACCAAUCAUAUGCUGCCCAAUUGCGAAUAGGGUGCCCGAGAUCCGGUGGUGACCAGAACUUAUUUUUCUUGGACUUUGUCAGUCCAACGAAGUUUGAUAACAGCUACUUCAAGAAUAUAUUAGCUUCAAAGGGCCUGUUGAACUCCGACCAAGUUCUCUCAACAAAGAACGAGGCAUCAAUGGAACUUGUGAAGAAAUAUGCCGAGAAUAAUGACCUUUUCUUUCAGCAAUUUGCCAAGUCCAUGGUUAAGAUGGGUAACAUCUCUCCAUUGACUGGUAACAGGGGAGAAAUCAGAAGAAACUGCAGGAGGAUUAAUUAACUCUUAAACCGCCAAAAGGAGUAAAUUAUUAUUGUGUUUAUCAGCUUCUGUAUCAUGUUCUUUUCAUCCCCUUACGAUUGAAAAUCUUCGUUUGUGUAUCUUGUUGUAGUUGCUAGCCUUUGUGAUCUGGAUUUGUAAGAAUGGAAAUUUGUGGAAUUUUGUGCUUAUUGAAGCUUCAUGUUACUACGUACUUUCUUAAUGAGAAAAGAAAGUGAAAUGAGAACAUAAUUUCGCUGUAAAUUACAUAAUACGUUCACGAAUCAGCCGGCUACGAAGGAAGGGCCGGCUCUGGCAGCCGAAAUAUACUGGGCCAAAAAGCAAAUAGACCAACAAAUGGUGGCCCAUGCCCAUAAAAUCCAUAGACUUAAAAAGGGUCAUAAAAGUAAAAUACCAACUAAUUCUCCUCAGCCGUGCUCGAAGCCUCAUGGGGUUUAUGCAGAGUCUUGAGUCUUGAAAAAAAAACCCAAAAAAAGGAUCACACCAUGACCAUCUAAUUCGAAUCCAGAUGAAUGCAUUCAUUUGAUAAACUCAUAAAAAGCAAUUUCCAUUUUCCGUUUUAACUCCCCGAGAAAAUGAGACAUUUACGGUUCAUUACCCUACACGUGUCCCGAAAUUUCAAAUCCUCCCUUCAAAACCCUAGAAGUGCCACGAACAGUCAUCUCCUUAAUCGAAUUUCGGCACGUGAUUAUUGCACUCCUUCACAAGAACCGUCGGAGAAGGUUGCCUCAAUCGUCGACGAAAUAUCAUGCCUCAGUCUGGUCGAAGUUAUGGACCUGGCCGAUGUCGUGCGGAACAAAUUGGGAAUUAAGGAAAUGCCGAACAUGUGCGUAAUGAUGCCCGGAAUGGGGUUUUCCGUGAAGGGCGCCACCGCGAGAGGAGGAACUGGGACCGGAAAGGCAGAGGAGAAAGUAGAGAAGACGGUGUUCGAUUUGAAGCUGGCAGGGUAUGGUGCUGAGGCGAAGCUUAAGGUGAUUAAGGAAGUUAGAGGGUUUACGGGUUUGGGGCUGAAAGAGUCUAAAGAGUUGGUAGAGAAAGUUCCCACUUUGUUGAAAAGGGGCGUUACCAAAGACGAGGCUGACAAAAUUGUUGCUAAACUGAAGGAAGUUGGCGCUCAAGUCUCCAUGGAGUGAGGUACUUUUACAUGACUAAUUCGUGAUAUAAUGUUUUCGAGGCUGCUUGUUCAUUUCUUUUUUCUUCUUCCUUUUUAUUCGGCGGAAAGGUGUUAUGGUGGUUCGUUUGUUAUGAUUAUGAAUGCUUGGGUUGUUUCUAGGAUUUGAUGGUUGUUGAAUUGAUGUAUGUUUUGCUGUUUCCUUUGUGAUAUCCCUGAACAGGAUGAAUCUUGAUUGUCUUGUUGGAUAUUUACUAUGAAAAGUGUUCUCUGACCCGUGACCUACGAGAUCUAACUUAUUUAUCUGAAAUAUAUUCUGCUGUAGGCGUUUCCAAUAGUGUAUCAAGUCGGAAGAUGAUAGUUAGUUUGAUUACUUCAUGAGGAGACCUGUUAUUAAAGAGUGGAGGGGACUUUGUUGCACCUGGAAGGGGAUAAUCUUUGUGGGUUAAUGUUUUUAUGUCUUGCCAGGAGAUUAUCACAUGUAUAGCUGACGGUAAAAAUUAAUGUUGUUUAGGAGAAAGAAUGGAGAUAACAAUAAAAAAUAGUUUGUCAGAUAACAUCAGUUGCUCUUGCAACUUAGUUUUAUUAUGCCUGUGACUGAAUCUUGUAAUCUAAUAAUUAAAACUAAGGGAAGUACUAUUCCUUGGAUGGCAUUAUGCUGGAGAGAAAAUCAGUGAGGGCUGUCGUAGCUGUCAGUUUAGCCACAAGUUGGGUGGUUUUCUACGAUGAUGGGUGGUAAAGAAGCAAAUCUUUGUUAAUAACAUUUAAUACGUGUGUCCUUUUUUUUUUUUUAAUUUUGUGUGGAAAAGAAUAAGUGUGUCCUUUACUGACGAUUACUAGUGAUUGAUUACAGUCAUGAGAGGGAACACAGGAAGGUAGAUGAUCCCUAUUUUAUUUUCUUCAGAAUCUAAAUUUUGUAUAUUAUGUUUUUUCCCCAAUAAAAAAUUGGCUUACGUUGAAGAAUAUAAAACAAAAGCCAUGAGGGAUAAGGCAGCUAUCUUCCUCAGCUCUAUUCUUCUUGUACAAUAGAGUUGGAGCAAACUAGGGGAAACUAAGAAGAGGAUGAUAUUGAUGGUAGAUGAAGGAAGUGAAUAUUUUGGCCGGUAGUUAUAAAGUUGGCAAUCUCUGCCUAAGAGACAUGCAGUGAGCAGGAAGUAUUGUACAUAAUAACCAUACCGGUACUAAUGAUCCAUGUUCACUUUAGUGAAAUGGUAUGAGUUAAUGUGACUGAAUAUGUAUUAUGUGAAGGCAAUUGUUCAUAUCUCUGUAGUUUUAUUGUUCUGUGAAACAUAUGAAAUAGAAUUAUGCAAUUAAUUUACAUAUUAGAAUUGGUCUUUUCUUCAGCUUGAGUUCAUCAGAGGAGUGAAUGAUGAAGAUCUUGAAGUCAAGACUCUGGAGCUAUGGCUGGUUAAUAUCAAAAGUAUCCGAUUCCGAUCUAUAUCAUUCUUCGACUAUCUGUGAGGGUGAUAAACGCAUGUCUUUCAUAAUACACAACAUUCAUUGAUAAAGCUAAUUUGUUAUGUUCCCAGAUAGAAUCAUUUUAGGCAAACUUUUCUCUUUUUUUUUUGCCUUAAUUUUUAUUCUUAAAAUUUCAUACAACUUCUGUGGAACUGAAUUCUGAUGACGGUUUCAGUUUAUAAAGAAUCUUUCGGAUGGAGCCUUUGCAGCUUUUCGGUUUUGAGUCUUACUUCUUUGAGAAUCCUGAGUGGAUCCUGAGUGGAAGGCAUGGAUACUCUGAAGUAGUCAUUUGCGAAUUGAAAGCUUCGAAACGUGCAUUAUGCAUGGUUUGAUUUUGUACUUCAAUUAUCACCUUUUCGACAUCUUAAAAGAAUACUGGGAUUGUUUACGUAAGUAGAAGCUAAUAGAGGACAGCGUGUAACUGGCGCAGAAGCAAUUGCAAUGUGGAUCUUAUCAAUUUGCAUCCGAAUUUAUGGCGUAAUUGACUGGGGGAUAAAAAAAUUCUGACGUUUCAAAUAUAGGAAAGCACCAUUAUACCCUAGCAUAAGGAAUAUAGUAUGCCUUUAAGAAACGUUGACUAUUUUUUUUUUCUUUUUAAAUGCAUAGAUUUUUUUUCGUGUAAACAUAAAAAUAUUACCUCACGGCAACUAAGAGUGAACACUUAAUUCCUGAAAGCACCUAUUUAUUAAGUUUUAAAAAAUAUUUGUUUUUUGUUUUUUUGUUUUUUUUUUCACUUUGUGCGGCUCUCACAUUUACAAACACACAUCACGAUUCCUCUUUACAUUCUAUCUCCCAUACCAUAGCAUCUAUACCUUGAAUACUUCUACUUGUAAAGUAUAAAUUUUAUUAAUAUAUAAAGUAUUUAAAAGUAUUUAAAAAGAAAAAGGUGUUCAAAACAUUUAUUAGAUAGCAAAUAAUUCUGCUCAAUAAUUCAAUAUUGAGAUUGAGACUCGCAAAUUUCUUAGUUUUUGACAUUUUACCCAGUUACGUUUUAAAAGCCGCCCAGUCGCCCACAGUGACUCUACAAUUCGGCCAAAGGAAAGGUAUUUCUCCCAAUAGACGGCAGCGUUUUGGUGGCUAUAACUGGGCAAAUUUAAACAAGGAAGUGAGGAACCCCUCGGAGGGGAAGGAGCAACGGACCAAUCCCUGCCCUCAGCCUCAGCCUCAGCGCAAGUUGGUGAAAUGAAUCCUGCUCUUCCGGACUCCACUUCAAUCUCUUCUUAAAUGAAUCAUGUCAGAGUUAAAGUCAGGACAAUGGCAAUGGGAAAAUGCCACUGCCGGCGCCAUUGCAGGCUUCGCCACCGUCGCGGCUAUGCACCCUCUCGACGUCGUCCGUACUAGGUUCCAAGGUCCUUUUUUUUAUUUUUUGUUUCUUCAUUUAUUUGUUGUUCAAUGAUUGAAUUCAGAUUUUAAAAAAAAAAGGAAAGAAGAAAAAAUUGCAGAGCGUUUCUGUUUUAUUGACUUAGAUUUGUUGCUGUUGCUAUUGUUGGUGAACUAAUUCUAGUUAACGAUGGUCGAGUAUCGAAUCUCCCAACUUACAAGAACACGGCUCAUGCUAUUUUAACCAUUUCUCGCUUGGAGGUUUGCUUCUUUCCGCUUCUGCUACUUCUUCUGUAGGUGAUGUGAUUCCACUUCCAAGGUUUUAAUUCAUGUUACUGAACACAAAACAUGAAUAAAAAAAUCAAUAAUAAUAAUUAAGCAGACAGAUUUUUGGAGAUAGACUGCCAAACAAAAUUUCUGUACAAUAAUCAAAUCUAGUUUAUGUAGAUUCACUUCUGCCAAGCUCGAUUCUCCAAAUUGUAUAAGUUGUUGAUGUUUAUCCAUUUUAAGGCUCUAUGAACACCGUCUUUCAUAUUCUGGUUGGCACCCAAAUUGAUAUUCAAGCUCUUAUUAAUAUGUUUGUUUUAUUUAGAUGGAUGCAAGUUGAAUCAAAGACUUCUUUUCUUGGUCAUUAAUCUUACUUAAUUAUAUUCUUACUGGAUAUGUAUCCUAGUGCUCUAACUGCUCGAUAAAACGUUGUCAAUCACCAGAAUACUUUUUGCCUCAGGGUCUGAGAGGGCUUUAUGCUGGCUUUUCUCCUGCAGUUCUUGGCUCAACUCUUUCUUGGGGUUUAUAUUUCUUCUUGUGAGUGUUACCAAGGCCUUUUUUUCCAGUCAGUUGCUUUAACUUUCAAUAAUGUUACAAUUCAUUUGGUUGAUUUUUUUUUCUUUUUUGGUAUUUGUAGUUAUGGCAGAGCCAAGCAAAGGUAUUCUAAAAAUGGGAAGGAAAAGCUGAACACUGGUCAUCAUCUAGCUUCUUCUGCUGAAGCUGGAGCUUUGGUGAGUGCUUUACUUCCUUUUUUAUCACUUGGAAAGGCUGAGGUUCAAUCAAUAUCACCACGCAUAGAUGGUAAUACUGAUAAUGUAAAAAGUCAGAAGGAUGUGUAUAAAAGAAGUGAAGCGAAAUUAGAGAAAAGAAGAAGAGAUACCUAGCUGAGUCCAGGUGGAAUGAACAGUAGUGUAAAGUGCAGACCAUAUGUAAUGGUAUGCUUUAAGAAUUUUUCUUCCAAUCCAUUCAUCAAAAAGUAGAAUUUUUCGAAGCACAGGUCCAGCUAGAAAUUUCUUGUAUCACAUCAGUUGUAUUCUUGUUUUGAUGCUUGUUUGCUUUGUUUUGAAUAUUGCUUUUACAUCAUAUAAAUUGUACCUCCUUUUCGUUUGUGAUAGCGGGGUGUUACAACUUGUAUCCUAUUGAUAAGUGUAACCUUGUGGCAUUGUCAGGUUUGUUUGUGCACGAAUCCUGUUUGGCUUGUAAAAACAAGAUUACAGCUUCAGACGCCUCUUCAUCAAACUCGACUGUAUUCUGGGCUCUAUGGUCUGCUCCACUUCUUUCACUAAUAUGCUAAUAAUGUGGUCUCUGGAUAACCUUUUUUACUAGUGAGUCAUUUUCACUUUAACUCCAAAUAUUAGUAAUCGAAACAAGUGAUUAUACAUCUUCCAAAUUAAGUCCUUCGCUACUUGGACCAAAACUCCUAAAGAAUAUCAAACAUGUGUGAAGACUCAGAACUUAAGUACCUUAGUUGGUUAUUAAGAAUAUUGGUUGAUAAUUCAUUCCAUAAGUAAGCUUUAGCAUGUUAAGGAGUCCUUAAUUAUUAAAUUAUGAACUUACAAGACCAACUUUCUAGUACAACUCACUUUCAUCUCAGACUAGUUUUUCAAUGUGCUGAUAAUCGUUUUUUCAUCUUCUUAGUUGCUUGCUGAUACUACAAUAUUCUCUAAUAUGUAACCAAAUUUCAGAUGCCUUAACCACCAUAAUGAAAGAGGAAGGAUGGAGUGGCCUCUAUAAAGGGAUUGUCCCGAGUCUUUUUCUGGUGAGUUAUUGUAUUUUCUUCUGCAGUCAUUUUGUUAUUUGUAUGCUUUCUCUUCUGCUUUAGUAAAGAUGAUGUUUCGUAUUCUAUACACACAGCUUCUGUUUCUGCACUUCUUUUUCCUGUCAUUUUUUUAUGUUUUUUUAUUUUUUAAUUUCACAACCAUUUUUUAUCUGCUGUUGGAUCUGGAAAAAUUUCCUGUAAAUAAGCGGCCAAGAUAUUGUGUCUCACCAUAUUUCGCAAUUUGCUGCUGGUGUCUCUACUUUCCCAAGUUAUUAGUGAAUAGUGAUAUGCAUGUUGCAGGCAUAAAGGACAUCUUAUUCUUUCCUCUCCGAGGUAUUUUUAAGUGGUUAUUUGCUGUUAAUCAUAUCACAAUUUUGGUGUAUGAUAAUUGAUAUGAGAUGUAUACUCAUUCUUCAUUCCCGUUGUAAUCAUUUUUUGGUCAAAUCAUGGAAAUUAUUCCUCAUCUCCUUGUAUUGCAGCAUUGUAUUCGAGUUCAUCAUACUGUCUCUGUCUUUCUCAAAAGAUAUGUCAAUCAUUUAUGUGUCCAAAUCCUUUUAAACAUUCAUUUCUUAUGUGACGGGAAACUAAUGCAAACUAAGGGCAAGGAUGUAGCUGUCCCUUGUUGAAUUCAUGUACUUCAGUGCAUGAAAUUCAGUCAUGAUUAUGUGUUUCUAAAUUUACUUUUAUAGGAAGAUAUAAAGUUGCUAAUGUCAGUGGGCGCUUGUUGGUUCCAGUUGUAAAACCUCCUGGAGUGUACCAGAGGUUUUGGAACCCAGCUUACAUGGUGGGCAGGGUAUUUGGUUUCCAUCCAUGCAAUCUUGGGGAAGAAUAAUUGCUAAUUGACAGAUGAGCGUGUCAAUUUAAGGAGAAAGUCUUAAGAUGUGAAUAUUUAAUCACAGAAUGUCAUGUUUUGUCAAGUGUACACUAAUUAUUUCUAAUUUUAACUCAGCUUUUUGCUUCUUGCCUCUUCCUUUUCCUGCAAUCGGAAUUGAAAAACCAUAACUGCAUUGUUUGCAUAUGUGUGUGAGAAAACAAACUUGUGGUAGUUUGAUUAGUUGGUCGCACAUUGUCAGUAUGGUUUAAAGCAGGAAUGGUUUCACCUAGGAUGAAUACUGGUUUUUCUUUUUCUUCAGCAGGUUUCUCAUGGGGCUAUUCAAUUUACAGUUUAUGAGGAACUUCGUAAAGUUAUUGUGGACUUCAAGUCUAAACGAAGGAAACAAAAUCCUGACAGGGCUAAUAAUUUAUUGGUAAGUAUUGAAAAAUCAGGGGUAAUAAGCGUUGGGCAUUUGUUUUGUACCCAUUUGAGUUCAUAUUCUGAGUAUUAAAAGGACACACAUAUGAGCUAGUCUAGGUUUUUGUUUGGUAUUCAAUGACUUGGGAAAUUUUGGAAAAGUUGGUUUACUUUUUCCCCGUUUCAUUGUGUUCAUGCAUACUCACAUCUUUAUGUCAUAAUCCUAGGAUGUAAACUCUGAUUUCUUGCUCAGAAGUUCUAUUGUCUCUUUCCUUCCAAGAUGCUAUGAAAUUAUUAACAGUCUCUACCAAAUUUGCACAGAAUUCAGCUGAUUAUGCUAUACUUGGGGGCUCUUCUAAAAUUGCCGCAAUGCUUCUGACAUACCCAUUUCAGGUAGACAAAUCUUAUAAUUUACUGCAUCCUUGAUAAUAGAUUUUCUCCUCUUUCUUAAUCUCUUGGCUGAUCACUUGUGUGUUUUGUGGGUUUGUCUUUUCAGGUUAUUCGUGCUCGAUUGCAGGUACAGUUCAUGUUCAGAGUGUGUGUAUUUGUGGUUUGUUAAAUUUUUGGAAUUUUUAUAUUUGAAACCUGAAAGCUGUUUUAAUUCUACUGCUGUAUUCCCUUCGGCUACUGUUUAUGAUGUCCCCACCUAUUCUUUUGGGGAUGAGUAAAUAAUUAAAGUUGCCCUGGAGAUAUCAUAUUUUCUUUAUAAACUUGUUAAUUUGCUUCUCUUUUAGUUAUGACAUAACGGGGGUAGUAUAUAUUUUCAUAUGCAGCAAAGACCCAGUGGCAAUGGAAUUCCGAGAUAUGUGGAUAGCUGGCAUGUUAUCAGGGAAACUGCAAGGUGAGAUUAAAUUUCAGUAUAGGAACUUCAGGAUUCUUCUAAAGAAAGUUGAUUAACAUUAUUUUUCCUUCUACCAUUUUGGCCAUUUGAUUGUCAAGAGACUGUGCUGAGUGUUAACCCACCACAACUGUUUACCGUACAAAUAAUUGACUUUGCAAGAAAAUUAAAAAAUUUGAGAGUUUUACUUGUUUUGGUCAAAAGUUAAGUUGUGUUUAUUUUUCCCCUCUUUAUUUUCACUUUUCCCUACAGCAGAUACCCUUUCUUAUGGGUUACAAGACUUUAUUUCAUUUUCUUUUGGGAGAUUAUUUACUUUAUUAUCUUUGUUUUUCCCCUUGCAGGUUUGAAGGCCUUCGAGGUUUUUACAGGGGCAUCACACCAAACCUUUUGAAAAAUGUCCCU
rnacentral:lncRNA from 1 species